rnacentral:lncRNA from 1 species
UGAUAAUAUUAAGGGUACCAAGUGAAUUAGCAUGGUUAUUCACACCUUGUUUUGUGAUCCUCGGCAUCCCAGUCACAAAACUUGAAGGGCACAAUCGAGAUUGAAACAUGCCAUUGAAAAGUUCAAUGAAUCUCAAAAGAAUCUAGGAAUUUCAAAUCCAAUUAAAACCUAAUAAUUCAUUUUGUUUUUCAUGGUGGAAAUUGGUGAAUCGUCAUUCACCUACCUUUCAAAUAUAUUAUUACUUAGAUUACGGCAUCCCUCUUCUAAGUAUAAUAUAUUGUGAUUGGGUCCUAGCCUUAAUAUUACAUUUGGGUGUCUUAUUAAGGAUUCUAUAUAUCUAAUCUAAACUUGCUUUCUUCUUUCAGAUGUCUUCCAACACUAAUGCUUCAGGCUCUAACCCAACUGGUUCUUUCUCUCUCAUGAAUCUUUGUGGGAGGGUCAUCUUUGAUGGUUCCAACUUCAUGGAUUGGAUUAGGAACAUCAGGAUGGUUACUCGUUAUGAGGACAAGGAAUAUGUCCUCGAUAAGGAGUUAAAAGAGCUUGAUGAGUCUACUGCUACUCCUGAGGAGAUCGCUGAAUUCAGGACACAUGAGAGAGAUGCUACUAAGGUGGCAUGUAUCAUGAUGGCCACGAUGACAGCCGAGCUCCAAAAGUCAUAUGAAGAUUUCUACCCUUUUGAGAUGCACCAAGACCUGAUGGAAAGGUACCAUCAGAGUGCUCGUCAGGAGCGGUAUGAAAUAAUCUCCUCCAUAAUAACUACCCGCAUGAAGGACGGUGAUUCCGUCACGGCUCACAUGCAAAAGAUGCAAAGGUAUGUGGACCGUUUGCUGAAGCUGAAUGUGAACAUCCCUGAGGAGUUGGCAAUUGACAUCAUUUUGCACUCCUUACCUUCUUGUUAUGACCAUUUUCGUAUGACAUAUCAUAUGAACAAGGAGGAAGUUACCCUCAGCAAGCUUCAAGGACUCUUGAAGACCGCUGAAACCGGUCUUAAGGGCAAGGCGGUUGUUACCUCUACUACUCCUACUCCAACAUCUACCCCUGUUUUGGCUAUCGGGCAAGGCAAAGGGAAAAAGAGGAAGCACCCUUCGAAGGGUACCAAGGGAAAGUCUCUUGAAGGCUCCUCAUCGAAGACCAAGAGCGGUUCUGUCACUCCUUCUGCCAUUCCCAAGGAUGCUGAAUGCUUUUAUUGCCAUGAAAAGGCACACUGGAAGCGAAACUGCCCUAAGUACUUGCAGGAUCUAAAGGAUGGGAAAGUGAAACCCACCCAUGCAGGUAUUUACACUAUAUUGUCUAAUUACUCAUCAUAUUCUAACUCUUGGGUGCUUGAUACAGGAUGUGGUAUUCACAUAUGUUCUGAUAUGCAGGGCCUAAGAAGAAGUGAGGAUGUGGAGCAUGGGAAGAUAAACUUGAUCAUGGGGAAUAGGAAGGCUUCACAUGUUUCCAAGAUUGGAGUUUAUACUUUUUUGCUUAAUAAUGGGUUUAAAUUAUAUUUGAAUAAAUGUGUGUACUCGUCUGAAAUGGCGAGAAAUAUUAUUUCUUUUCAUGCUUUGUCCAAACAAGGUUUUACCUUUUCGUUUGAUAAUGAAUGUGGUGGUAUUAGUGCUUUCUUUAAAAAUGUGUUUUAUUUUAAAGCGUUACCUUGUGAUGGUGUGUAUGAAACCGUGUCGAUUGUAGACAACUUAGGAAAUAAUGUGUUGUAUAUUGAUUCUUCUACUAGCCUAGAUAAAGCAUCAUUGUGGCAUUGUCGUCUUGGACAUGUAAACAAGAAACGCAUAGGCCAACUCCAAAAGAGUGGAGUACUGGAAUCAUUCGACCUUAAAUCGGAUGAUAGUUGUGAAUCUUGUCUACUUGGAAAGAUGACAAAAUCACCCUUCGCUGGAACUUGUGAAAGGGGUGAGGGUUUGUUGGACCUAAUACAUACUGAUGUAUGUGGGCCUUUCAAAACCGCCACAAGGGAUGCUAAUCGGUAUUAUGUGACUUUUAUUGAUGAAAUAUAUCAAACGCUGAAUAGUGAACAGUAACUUCUAAAUCGUUUAGCGAUGUUUCGACUCCUUGUUAUUUCACAGCGACGUCAAACUUGGAACACCAGUUGCAUCAAGCAUUCCUAAUCCAGACAAGAUCCUUAGAAUGUACUUCUCAUCCAAAUGUUUUGUAAAGAUGUCAGAAAACUGAUCCGUCAUUUUCACAAAGUGAACCUCGAUUUUUCCAUCCUCGACAUGAUCCUUGAUAAAUGAUAGCGAAGUGCUAUAUCCUUCGUCUUCGAAUGUUGCACCGGAUUAUAGCAGAUACGUAUUGCACUUUGUGAAUCACAAUACAAAGGUAUCUUUUUCAUUUUGAUUGCAUAAUCACGAAGUUGAUUUUGUUUCCAUAUGACUUGAGAAGUGCAAGCCGCAGCAGCAAUAUAUUCUGCUUCUGCUGUGGAAAUCGAAACACAAGUUUGUUUCUUCGUUUGCCAGCUAACAAGCUUCACGUCCAAUACUUAACAUACACCAUUAGUUCUUUUUUCUUCCGAUUUGACAUCCACCAAGAUCUGCAUCAAAAAUUACCUGAAUAAAGAAACCCGUGUUAGAAUGCUACCAUAAACCCAACAACACAGUCCCUUUGAGAUAUAGAAAAAUAUUCUUUACAACUGUUAAAGGGGGUUCCCUGGGAUUCAACUGUUGCCUAGCACAAUUGCAAACAGAUAACAUAAUGUCAGGUCUACUAGCAUUUAAGUAUAGUAAUAAACCAAUCAUGCCCCUGUACAAGGUAAUAUCUACAACAGGCUAAUCCAUAUAUGCUUUGACGAAUAUUCAAUCCUAGAAAACUGUUGAUCGUACCCAUCAUACUCAUCUCAAAUCGACUUUUCAGCAUAUGUUCAAAUUUGCUAGGCAAUAAAGGGUCAGUAGAACCAAAAAUAAUAUCAUUUACAUAUAUUGGAACGAGCAUCAAGUGAUCCCCCACUUUCUUUCGAAAUAGAGUGGGAUCAACAGAUCCUUCUUUUAAUAUCGAGAGUUUAAAGAAAUUGGUAAGAGUUGCAUAGCUUUAUCGAGAACAUAGAAAUGAUCAAGGUAUUUAUCAUUUACAAGACCUGAUGGUUGUUCAACAUAAGCAUUUUCUUCUAAGACUCCAUUAAGAAAAACGCACUUGACAUCGAUCUGAUAAACAUCAAAGUUUUUGUGUGAUGCAUAAGCAAGAAAUAUUCGAAAAAAACCUCGAGUCUCGCCAUAGGAGCAAUUGCUUCAGCAUAAUCAAUACCUUCUUGUUGUGAAUAUCCCUUAACAACCAACCUUGCUUUGUUUCGAAGAACAUUUCCUUCUUUGUCAGUGUUAUUUUUAAAAAUCCAUUUUAAGCCUAUAACUGAUAGAUCAUCAGGUUUUGGAACAAGUUUCCGAACCUUGUUUCUUUCGAAUUCAACAAGUUCAUAUUGCAUGGAAACAAGCUAAUCAGGAUCUCCCAAAGCAGCCUUGACUGAUUUCGGUUCUAUUUUUGAGAUAAAAACAUUAAAAAUGCAAAAUUAUUGAUGCGCAUUUAGUACCUCAUUUUUACCAUAAAGCCAAGCUCUUGUCAAAAUGUCAGCUUUAGGAUCACCAAGAACUUGUUCUUUAGGAUGAUUUCGAGUCCAUCUGUCCAUAGGUGGAAAUGCAGGAUUGAAAUCCAAAGCUGCAUCUUCGAACAUUUCAUCCAUUUCAGAACCUUCACAUGCAUUAGACACAUUAUCAGUCACAUCAUUGAAAACUUCAGUUUGUUCAUUUGAAUUAGUAGGUAUAAAUCCCUUUUGCUCCCCUUCGACAAUUGGAUUGAUAUUUUGAUGCUCCUCCUCAACAAUUGGAAUUAUAUUUUGAUAUCCCCCCUCGACAAUUGGAUUGAUAUUUUGAUGCUCCCCCUCGACAUUAGUAGUCGAACAUCCAUGCUCCCCCUCGACAUCAUCAUGCGAAUUCAAGUGCUCCCCCUCCACUUGAUCACCUUGCAACAUUGAUUGCCUUUUGACAUGAAUUGGAGAUUUUGUUGUUGAAUGUGAAACAUCAUCUUCCUGAGUAAUUGUUGAAUCAUCUGAAUGUUUCGAUGCUUUAGGAAUCUGAUUAUCAUCAUCAUGAAGUUCUGCAUCUAUUGCCUGUCAGGAAUACAAAAAAUUAAGUCAUAAUCUAAACCAAAAGAAUUGGUAAUUUUUGACUUAUCAUUUGUUUAUGUGAGGAUUGGCUUUUGUUCAAAAGUAUUUUCAACAUGCUUAACAUAGUAAUCAUCAAAAGUUAGAUUAAAAGUCUCUUCAAUCUUCCUUAUUCUUUUGGUCAACACCCGAUAUGCGACUUAAUUGAUUGAAUAUCCAAAGAAUAUUCCCUCAUUAGCUUUGGACUGAAAUUUCGAAAGGUUAUCUUUGAGAUUCAUGAUAAAGCAUCUACAACCAAAAAAAUGAAAAUAUUUCACAUUGGGUUUUCGAAUGUUAAUUAUUUCGUAGGGUGUGAUAUUAAAGAGUUGAUAAAUAAAUGAUCGGUUUUUAGUGAAACACGCUGUUGAAAUUACUUCUGCCUAGAGAUAUUAUGGUAAAUUCGCAUAGGUGAGCAUAGUCCUAGCCGCUUUGUAAAGAGACCUAUUUCUCCUUUUGACAACACCAUUUUGUUGAGGUGUGUAAGGAGAUGAAAAAUUACGUGCAAUCCCUAGAUCAGUCAAAAAUGAAUCGAGAACAUGAUUCUUAAAUUUUGAGCCAUUAUCACUUUUGAUAUUUCUGACUUUCUUUCUCAAACUGAGUUCAAAGUGCUUGAUGAAAUCAAUCAUUACUUGAGAAGUUUCAGACUUCUAACAAAGAAAGAAAACCUAAGUAAACCGUGAAAAAUCAUCAACAAUGAACAAGAUGUACCUUUUCUUGUUGAGAGUCUCAACAAUCGAAGGUCCAUAAAGGUGAAUAUGAAGAAGUUCCAGAGGUUCGAUGAUCUUCGAAUCGAUGACUAUUGGAUAACCUUGAUGGUGUUGCUUCCCCUGUUCGCAUGCUGCACAUAACGAAUCAUUAUCAAAUUUUAAAAUGGGUAAGCCUCGAACAAGAUCAUUUACCACCAAUUUGUUCAGAUUUUUAAAAUUCAGAUGAGACUUUCUUUGAUUCCACAGCCAGCUCAAAUUAGAUCACACCUUUGAAAGUAAGCAAACUAAUGGUACACUAAUGAUUGGCUUGUUGUCAGAGUGAACAUAUCACCUUUCCCCUUAGAUUUGAGCAAAACUUGUUUGGUUUAUUUGUUCAAAAUGACACUACCUUUCACAUCAAAGACCACUUGAUUACCAGUGCCCACAACAAAUUGUGAAAAACUUACCAAGUUGUGUUUAAGACCUUCAACGUAUGCCACUCGGUUGACUGUGAACUUUCCAUUUGUAACUUUCCCAUAGGCUUUAACCUUGCAUUUCUGAUUAUUUCCAAAUUUCACAACUACAACAUUCUCCAAACUUCGAUAAUCUUGAAGAUUUUCCUUCCGACCUGUCAUGUGAUGGGAGCAACCACUGUCGAUGUACCAGUGCGCAUCAUAGUGCUCGUCACUUAACACCUAUGAUCAAUUAAAUAAUUUAUGUCCCCAAGGCUGUUUGGGUCCUUGGUGAUUAGAGUGAAAUGCAUUAUGAAAUGAUGCACCUAAUAACCAAUUGUGAAAACUUCCCUGAUUGAUAUGGCUUUCUUUUUCCUUCAAUCCAAUGAUUAAUAUUCUUCGAGUCAGUUUUCCUGUUUACAAAUGAUGGUUUUGCAUGGGUUUGAAAACACUUUUGAAAAAGUUUUGUUAUAACCGACAAAUGUUCGAUUUUAAACUUGUUGUCCAUUCGUAAAUCGUUUUUUAUUUUGAAAUUGAUGAAAAUUUCUUUGUUCAUAUUGUUUAAAACAAUUUCUAUGAAAAUUAUUUUGUGAAAACUUUUCAUUUUGACGAUUAGGAAGAAAAUUCCUUUGUUGUUGAUUUUGAACAAAAUUCUCAUUUCUUGGUUUUUGAAUUUUUGAAUGACUUCUUGAGAAAUCAUUUUGUUUUAGAGCAGGUUUGUUCUAAACAAAAGACUUAUUUUCUAGAAAAGUCUGAACUUGUUUAAUCGUUUUCUAAUCAGAAAAUUUUUGUGCAAAUUUCUUUGGUUUCUUAGAAGACUUUUUAUUUUUUGAAUACACCUUGUUUCGAGCUUUUGACAUCGAAAUUCCUUCUUCUUUUGAAACUUUUGUAUUUGUUCAUUGAAAAUUUGUGUUUUUUACUGUCACACCCCCAAACCAAGGAUGGCGGAAACGUCCGGGGGUGGAGGACUUCAUGUACAAUAUCACAACAACAUGUAUAAUAGUGCUCAAAGUAAAUACAACCAUCAUAAAUAUAAUUGAAAAAGUUACACCAAAGUAUAUGUUUACAUGUUUCAAAAUCAAUUACAUUAUGAUGACAAAAAUAAAUUGUUGACGGUUUACCGUCCCUUCCUCAAAGCGCUGAAGUUUUCCUGUUUCACUGAUUUCCUGAGAAUACAAGUAGUUUUGAAAAAGUGUCAACAAUUAAGUUGGUGAGUUCAUAAGAGUUUUGUUUUAGAAUGAAGCCGUUUUCCUUGUAAAAUCGAUGGAGUUUGAUCUCCAGAAAAUCCAAUAUUUUCUUAGUUAAGUAUGAACAGAAAAUUCCUAUAUGACGUGUUAAUGAACCGUAGAAUGACCCGUAGCUUUCUCCUAUAAUCGUCCAGCGUAUAUCAGUUAUAUAAGAUUUAAGUUGGAUAAAACGUUGAAUAUAGUGGGUAUGCCCUAGGUCCACAACCAAACAAGGAAUAGGAGAUGAGGCGGGCCCACCAAUUCUACGCCAAUCGAGACUAAAUUCUUAUACGACUCAUGCAUAUACGCUCAGCGAUUAUAGUUGAAGUCUAACAAUUCUAGAUGAAAUAUAGUUUUAAUAUCAUAAUAACUAUUUUAUGUGAACCUGGUACUUUGUAUCUGUACCCNGUACUUUGUAACCCCUUUUUGUAAUUAAAAACCCGAUACUUUGUAUCUGUACCCCUUUUUGUAUAAAAACCCGGUACUUUAAAUUCGUACCCCAUUUAUAUGAAAACCCGGUACUUUGUAUUCGUACCCCUUUUUGUAUUAAAACCCGGUACUUUGUAUUCGUACCCCAUUUAUAUGAAAACCCACUACAUUGUAUUCGUACCCCAUUUAUAUGAAAACCCGGUACUUUGUAAUGUACCCCUAUUCUUGUGAAAACCUUUUGUAAUGUAAAUGAUCAUAAACUAUACCUAUUAUAGUUUAUCAAACUGUUUGAAAUGUGUAUGGAACCUAACUAUACUUAUUAUAGUUUAGUAUGUUUAUUUGUGGUGUUUAAGAAUCCUUUGUAUGUAAGUCAAAUGUGUAGUACAAUAUAGCUAUGUUUAUCUUGCUUUGUUUUGUACCAAUGGUUAUGAUGGAGGAUUCUUAUAAAUUCAGUAAGUAAUUUACUAUUAUAUAAAUAUACCACUACAAGAAAUACAUGUAAUAUAUGAAGUCAUCAAAGAUUUAACACUUUGGUCAACAUGUUACAAAGUGUUUUGAAAGUUAUAAGCUGUUAACUAACUCUUAACCUUUCUGCACUGUUUUAUAAAAAUCAUACGAAGUCGAAUACUAGAUCCGAAAAUUCUGAGAGUUCCUAAAAUGUGUCUAGUUUACUCAAAAAUUUUAUCAUGAUUUUUGGAAGCUUUUAACUUGUAUUAAAAUGCUCAUAUUCAUAGACUGGUCCGGAUUUGUGUUUGAAAAGACAGGCUAUUUUGUAAAAAUCACCAUAAAUUGUAGAAAAAUUGUGUGGAGAUGUGGAAGUAGUCAUUUUAAAGAAAAGAAGUGGAACUACUUGCACUUAAAACAUUUUUUAAAACUAAAAUGUUUAAGUUGUCCAAAACAGUCCGUGAAUGGAGUUGAACUUUUCUGAUGAAGGCUGUUAGAAAAGUUUAGUUAUGUUCUUGGUGUUUUAACUUGUAUUCCCCCCCUAAAAACUUGAGAAAACAUGAAAAUGUAGAGGUAUGAACUCACCUUGAGUGAUUUCAGUAGAUGGAUGAUAGAGAAAAGAAGUGCUCAACACAAGAACACUUGGGAGAUGCUUGAUGAUUUGAGGAGCUAACACCAAAUAUGACGAUAUUUGUGUAAGCACUAUAUGAUUUGAGUAGAAGGAAGUGAAAUAAUCAUAUGGAGGUUAUUAAUACUUACCAAAAGUAGAAGAAAAGCUUGGAGUAUAGCCUUGAAUCUCGAAUUUUAGAGAGAGAAGCUAGAUGAGAGAAAGUCAAGUUUGUUCUUGAUGGAGAAAUGAGAGGAAAUGAAAGAAAUGUGAGGAGAGAGGAGGGUUUUCUAACCCUUGACCAAGUGUGUGGCUGAAAAAUGGUGGGAAAACUACCAUGAAAUGACUAGGUAUGGACUGAUGGGUAACAGUGACCUGGAGUGGGUAUGGGACUGGUUGCUUGUGUCAUAGAAUAAAUGAAAGCCAACGCUCCACCUUUUGUACUUCACCCACUCUUCUUGGAUAAGGUUUUAUCCUUUAAAACGUGAUUAAUCAUUAAUUAUGGGUCCUUAUAUGUUAAAAUAAAGUUUUGGGUGAAAAUCCCGCGUUAAAACAAUUAAAAACGAAGCUAAAAUGAAAUCGUAGUCGAAAACCAGGAAGAAAAAGGCUAACAGCGAGGCUUCUCGGAAGGGGGGCGAAGGUUCGGUCCCUUCUGGUGCUGGGUCCGAAGCGAGGCGAGACAGUAGGGAGUGAAGGGAAGGUUCGGUCCGAAGUCAUCUGGAGCGAAAUAGACCGAAUGAACAGUAGCUUCGGGUUCGGUUCAGCAGCCUUCGGGUUCGGUCCAAGAGGGUUCGGUCCCUAAGAGGACUUUCGGGCCUAAGAGGGGUUUCGGCUCCUUAAGAGGGGUUUCGGGUCCAUAAGCCUAUUUUACUCGUUUUUACCCCGUUUCAAUCCGUUUUUGACCCGGUUAAGGGUCGGAAUGACCCGAAUGACUUCAAAAAGUUACAGGAACUUUUGAGAGAGAUUUGGGAGUGAUUUCAUAUUCUUGAAGAGAUUUCUCAUACAAAGAGAGUUUUGGGAGAGAUUUCACAUACUUAGAGAGAUUUGGGAAAGAUUUGACAUACGUGGGGAGAUUUGGGAGAGAUUCUCGAUAAAGAGAGAUAAAGUGAAAAUGAUUGAGAGAGUUUUCAUUUGUGACCUUUUUGAGUGUUCGGCUUCGCAAAGCAAGGUCCGUAAGCCCCGUUAAGCCUUGAUUAAGGAUCUUACACACUCCCGAUGAGUAUGCAACAUUGUUUUAUCGGUUUGGCUCGCCACGUACCACAUUUUUAGGUUAAGGAGAUCUAGAUGUACGCACUUUUCGAUUUAUGAUCUCUCAUUAGAAUAGCGAGUUGUUUAGUAAUUACAUAACGUAAGCCCUAGUACACAAGGGUUAGUUGAGUUGACCGGUUUGACUUGUUGACUUUAUUUGACUUUGAAUUGACCAGAAUUUGAUGGUUGUCACAUUUUCUUUUGAUUAUGAGAAACCGAUUCAUUUGAUUGUUUGUCAUCAUUUACUUUUUCUGUCUUAACUUCCCAAGUUCUUUUUGGUUUUUACCUUUGAAAAGUAGAUGAAUUCUUGUUAAGAGUAUUUUCAACCGUUCUUUGGUUUGAGAAAACCCUUCUUUCGAAACUUCUUUGUUAUCUUCAACAACAAUUCUUUUGAUCUCAGGAAUCAAUUUGUCUCCAUUGUCUGUAGUGACAAACACCCGAUUGGGAAACACCACAUCAUCGGUGCAUUUGAAAUUUGGGUAAACAACUGAGUUUGAUUCGAGAUAAUGAGGACCUUUUUCCUUCAUCAGUUUUUCGAAUUUCUCUGUUUCCACAUAAAGUUGAUCAACAACAAUUCUGGGAAUAGUUAUUUCGAUUUGGAGCGUCGUCUUCAUCAUUAUCACUAUCAGUUUGACUAUCUUCGAGAAUAUGUGGUUAUAGUCAUGAACUUUCAAUGUUGAGGGUUGGUUAGUGUUAAACUUUUCCAUUGAAUCAUUACAAAUUUCUUUACCCUUAGCCAUCGAAGUGACAUUAAUGACAGAUAACUGAGAACAAUCAACAACUUCUUCCUCCUCAAUUUCACUUAUAUUGUUGGAAUUGUCUUCGAUAUCAGCAAAAUUGGGUUGAGAAUCAGAUGUCGAAUUUGCAGACUUUUUCAGAAUCUUUAUUUGUCCGGUCUUGGUGAAGGUCUUAUUCACAAUAUGUACCAAAUCAUUGUCAUCUAAACAUUCAUCUAUUUUAACAAUACCAUAUGCAUAUGAAUCAUUUGGGACUUUUUCAAAGUCAGAAAUCUUUCUCUCCCAAUCAUAGGAUGUUGAAUAUAUUUUCUCCCUUUCAAAGACCAACAAGGGCAAUAGCUUCCUACGUUGUUCCUUACUAAUGUCAGAGGACUGAUGUAAAUCUAUUAGUUUAGCAUAUAAUUUCUUAGCUGAAUUGUAAUAGAUGUUACGUUGUUUCAUCAAAAAAACAAUUAUCAGUUCUUACAUAAUCCCUAUCAAUAGUAACAUUAUUCAAUUUCAACUCAAGAUUCUAUAUCCUAUUCCUCUUCGAAUCCUAACAUUUUUUGUGUUUCUAGCACUAAGGAUUUCAGUUUUUUAGCAUCACUACUAACAGAGAUAAGCAAGUCAUUAACUUACGUAAUAGUAUCAUCGAAGUAAGACAAAACAAUAUCAUAUGAACUAAAAGGAAUAUUAAAGAAUUUGAGAAGAGACUGUACCUUCAAAUUCAUUGGAGACUUGUGUGCUCCAAUAGAAAAAAAAACAUUUUUCAGUCACUUUCUCCACAUCCUGACUUCCCUCUUCAUACCUCACAUACAUCGCUCCGUGUAUCGGGUUUCUAAUUUCCUCAUCAUCCGACCCAGAUGACCAUAUUUGAUAGGUACCAUCCCCAUCACCACUUCCCUUUGCUACAAGCGACAUCCCCUUCAUCCUUGCUCUCACUUCUUCUAGCCUUUCCACAUAAUAGGCUUCAUCCUUCACUUUAUCCUUCUUCUCCUCUCUCUUCCUCAACAUACAAUCAACUGCCAUAUGAUAUGCACCAUUGCACUAGUGACAAUCAAAACCAGAAUCUCCUUUUAAUUUCUUAUCCACCUUCUUACCAGUAACCUUACUCACUUUCUUCUCAACCUUUGACUCAUCUCUAAUAUUCUUCCUAGAUGAUGAGUUUCCUUUGAAAUCAAUGUUUCCUUUGAACUUUGGAUUGAAUGGCUUCUUAAAGAACUUUUAACUUUGUUAUUUGAAUAAUAAACCACAACUUCAUCUUCCGAAUUCAUGAAAAAACCUUCAUCACCAGAACCAUCAACAUCAACAGAUUCGACUUCAGACUCUUUUCUUGACACCUUCGAAACCAAUCCAAGAGGGCCUCCUAAAUUCAAUUUUCCUUCUUCAGCUAUUUUGUUGAUCUCACAUUCAUGAGCUUUUAGAACAUUAUAGAGAUUUCCCACCAAAUAGUUAUCGAAGCUUUGUUGUUUCUUUAUCAUCAAAUUGAUGUUUCUCCACUCCUUUCGAAGACCUAUCAAGAGGUGAGCUUGUACUCAAGAGUAGAACGAUUGACUCCAUAUUGACUACAUUUGAAGAUCAACCCAUUAAAAUGAUCAUAAUAUAAUUCGAAUGUUUCAUUCUCCUAACUCGAGCAUGUAUUUCUUCACUUAGCUUUUUCUAGUCAUCUCACUUCCCUAAUACUUAUCUUUCGAAGUAUCCCAGAUCUCCUUUCCUGUCUUGCAACAACGUACGUAAUUGUAAACCAUUGGUGGAAGAGCACCAUGAAGUUCUCUCAAACAUCUAUUGUCAUCUUCUGUUUGUUUAUCUAUUUGCUAUAUAACAUCAACAUUAAACAACGGUUUCAACUUGUUCUAGCCUAUUUGCAGGAUGAUUUCCACCAGUAAUGCAUCACCACAAAUAUUCAUCAAUCCCAUUGAGAUAAUCUUCCAUCCUAACAUCCCAUCACUCGUAAUAUUCAGGAAUCAGAAUCCGAAUUUUGGUUGAAGAAUCAAGAAGAUGAGAGAAACUAGUCAUCAUGUUCAUGUUGAAGUUCACCAUUGAUGUACAGACAAAAAUGAUUAAAAGCUUCAGAAAGAAGAAUCUAAUGAACAAAUCUUCCAAAAAACAAACAACAGACUCACGAAAUGUAGAAUCGAAUCGAAAUAGUGUUGGAUUAGUACCUAAGUCCAAAACUAUUUUCGUAUGUACUUGACCCGAUUGUGCAUGGUCCUUUUGGGUUGCCUUCACACUGGUGACUAAACAGGAUGAUUGUUAAGGAGAGAGGCUGGUUUAUUGUUAAGAAUAAUAAAUUAGGGUAUCAAUAUGAUUUGUUAAUAUAUUAUAUGAAUAAUAUAUUAAUUUGGAAUCAUAUUAUUAAUUAGUAUUUAAUCAGAAAUUAAUUUUGGGAUCAAAGGAACUGAGUGAAAGUGUAGGGGCUAUUUUGUAAUUAUUCAAUAGUUGAGGCUUUGGACCAUUGGAUCACCUUUAUUAAGGCUUGAACGAAAAUCCUAGAAGGAUCUAGGAGUUUUUGUCCAAGGGCUCAAGGAAAGGAGUCCAUGGACUUGCUUAGGCCAUAAGCUAAGGGAUUAGGGUUUACACCUUGAAACCCUAGUUAGCCUUAAGUAUAAAUAGCACCCUAAGCCACUAAGAUUUUGUCCAAGCCUUGGGAAACCCUAAAAGGGACGAAAUUUAGAGCAAGAUACCCGUCUCUCCUCUCUCCCAUGUUCAUCCUUUCACCUAGUGUGUUUGUGAGCCAUUAGAGGUACUACACUUGUGGUACUUGCUUUCAAGAGCUAUGGAAAUUCAAGGAACUAGUUGUUAUUGCUAUAUAACAACAAAAUGUAUGUAUUCUAUUUUAUAUAUGAAUUUUGAAAAUAAUAGUAGCAUGCCAGGUUUCUUUUUGUGUUCAUAAAGUUGUAUAACUAAUAGUUAAAAACAUAGAUCCAACUCUAAGGUUGCAUGCACACAUAGGAUUGUUUGUAUAAAACCCAUCAAAUAGUUGAUCAAAAAAUAUUUUCUAGAUAAAAAGUGCAGAAUAUUUUUUAAUAAAAAAAGAGAUUCAAAAACUGUUGAAAACACAAGAAAAAUCAGAAAUCAACUGAUAGAAUCCUACUUUGAAUUGAUUUUAAGAACACAAAACAUAAAUAUAAUAUGUUUUGCUCUUUUAUUGCUUCUGAAAGAGUAAACAAUAUGAAAGAGUAAAGUGAUCUUUUAGUUCACAAAACUUACUCUAAUACCUAUACUUACCCCUAUCUAUAGGAGUUAACAGAAGAACAAAAAAUACAUACGGGCUAAUACACCGAAGCUUCGAGCUCUAAAAUGCCCUUGUGAAAUACAUAUAAGGAAUACAUCGAAACAAACUUCGACACUAGACAUGACCAAAGGUGCUUCAACAUCUCACAACAUAUAUCGAAGUCUACACCUUCAGGUGACCGUUUCCCGAUGUGGUGCCUCCUUCAUUUUGAUGUUCAUCUCCAUAACCCUUAUAAUAUUGCUUCCUUCCUUUCCUCCAGGCUAGCUCUAGGCACUCAGCCACGAAGCAAGAUCUGUGGUGGUAAUUUUAUCUGCCUCUUGGCUCAGUCCUAUGGGAUUGAUACGCAUGGGAUGACUCAUUAUCCCAUUCGAUAUUGGACGACACAACUCUGACAUGGCUAUGAGCGGUUGUUCGUGGUCCAGAUAGGAUUUUGAGGAUUCCGCCUAAAGACGUUCUUGUGCCUAUCCCUCAGGUGGAUCCAGAGCACAAAGAGGAUAAAGAGUUUUAGCUGGGUUAUCGUUAGCAGCGUGUCCUUCGUUCUCCCUUGGUGCUCAGCAGGGUCCGCAACUUGACAUAAAUAUAGCCCACCUCUCUAGGCGUAUGGACGAGCUGACCAUAGAGGUUCAUGAUGUACACCAUUGCUAGCAGUGGAUGGCAGGAGCCAUGAUUGAUUGGUUUGCUUUUCAAGGAUGUUUUUUAUCCCCUUUAUCAGCGACCAAGCUAUAGGGCAGGUACAUCUGGGAGGCAUCACGAAGACGAUGAUGACAACAAUGAUGAUGACGAUGGUGGCGAUGGUGAUGUUGGUGACAAUGAUGAUUAUGAGUAACUGGCUAGUUUUUUUCUUUGUAUAUUUUUUUUUGAAUGUUGUUAGUGGUGAUGUAUGGGUAUAUAUGCUCCAUUUUUGGUAAACAUUCCCACGAUGUAUCUAUGUAGCUUUUUGGUAUUGUAUGUGUACUUUACGUUUUAUAACUUUGUUAGCACAUCUUUGUAUUUAUCUUUGUGCUCUUUUGGAUUGCUCAAGCUUUUACCUUCCUAAUUACCAUAUUUAGGUUUAGUAAUGCAUCAGACCCAUCCAAAAUAAAACACAGCUGAUCAAUUUUAUGUCUAGUAUUGGGUUGGCCAAUGUACUAUUUUACUUAUUUAGGGUACUUAACUAAAAAUAUUGAUUUCUCGUGUAUUAAAAUUUGUUUUUGUACUUCAAGAGUAGAAAAUCAGGAUCAACCAGAUGAGAAGUGUCGGUGGAUAGGAUCAUUUUCGCAUAUAGUUGUUUUGAAAUCCAACAACCCAAGCGAUAGUUCAAACUAGACACCUCUCCUAUAGGUAGUCUAUCGAGAGUGUAUUUUAAUAAUACUUUUAGUUGUAGAUCUUAUGACAGAUCUUUAUAGAGAACACGUCCCUAGGUUAUAGUUGUAUUUCCUAAAGAAUUACUAAUUCGUUAUAACCCUGAGCUUUGAUACCAUUCUGUCACACCGUCUGCCUGGUGGCAGAAACACUGAGUGGCGCGAAUUUCAUAGUUUGUUAACUUUCUAGAAGUGGUCUUUGUAUCAAGUUCCCAUUCCUUUUUGAUAGUCUGAUAGUCAUCUAUAUUCUGUGGUUUAGUCUUUUAUCUCUAUAGUUCGACCUAGGAAUACAUGUGAUUUUGAGAGGUUCAACAUAAUGUUGGUGAGUUUACAAGUUUGGUAGGUGUAGAGAAUACUUUAUUGAUGUUCUUAAGUUAGCACUCCUUUUAACCUCAAACUCAUUUUGCAUGUUACUGUAUCUUCUAGUGUUCUAGUAGUAGGAUCCAGAUAGUUUGAUGACUAAAUCUGAAUCCUGAUUUGGAUAGAAGUUGUAUAAUUUACUUGUUACCUUAUCUCAAGGAUAAUAUUCUCCUAAUAUUUCUUUUUUUUUUGUGUUAUUGGCACUACUUCUCAAGGCGUUCCUCAAUAAUAGUGGGUGUUAUGUUUGAAGAUGUUUCCUCGAGUUGGAGAGAAUUAUCACUAUGCAUAGUUUUAGUUCUAAUUUAACCUAAUCUCACUUCCUUGAGUUUGUGAGUACUAUCACUACUUCCAUAGUUAGGUUCCUAAUGGGAGUCUAAUAUAGUUACGAGUUAGUUCACGUAAACGUACUUCCUCAAGUUUGAGAGUUAGUUCACCAAAUAGUAGUUCAUGAUAGCUAGUUUUAGUUUGACAAAGUUAAUAUGAGGUUCUAUAAUAGAGUUAUGACUAUUGAUCCCGAAAGACUUUCAACUUGCCAUCGGGUUGUAGCUAGCAACCACAGGUGGGACUUUCAAUCCCAUAUAGAUCUAUACAUAUCUCUAUCGUCCAUUUAUGAAUUAACGAUUAUAGUUCGAGUCCUAGUUGAAUAUCAAUCAGUGUGUUGAUGAAUCGUGUUGUUAUUCGCAUUGUGUUUUAUAUGGUAUCCUUAUUAUAUAUAUUAUUUAUCUAAUAUAUAUAUAUAUAAUAUAUAUAUAUAUAUGUGUGUGUGUGUGUGUGUGUGUUUGUGUAUAUACAUACACACAGACACACACACACAUAUAUAUAUAUAUAUAUGUAUAUAUAUAUACACACACACAUAUGUAUACAUACAUGCAUAUACACACACACAUUGUUGAGAGAAAAACUUUUGAGACACACUUGAACAAACGUUAGAACAAGUUAUAUAUUGCGGAAAUAAGUUAAUCUCAAAGGAUCAUAAGGCUCAACAAUAAUAAGAAGUUAGAGUUGCUAGAGUCGUUAGUUGCAGAAAUGUAAGUGCAAAAAGUAGAGGAAAUGUAAAUGACAACAUGUUAUAUAUCAAGUAGACACUAAGUUGAUUCUCAACAAGGUUUGCAUUCAAACCGAGUUAGUUUACUUGAUUAGCUUAAAGUGAAUGAAGUCACAAGGACUUGCUCUGAAGGUGAGAUGAGAGUUUGAUUUUAAUGUAUUUGAGAGUAAGUUCAGUAAGAUCUUAUUGGAUGAGAAGGUUAAGAAUUCAGAGAGAAAAUCUUGUAUUAAUAGAAUGGAGAGAUGUAUUGAUUCAUGAAGUUGAGUGAUCUAUUUAUUAGGACUCGAGAAAUUACAUAGAAAAUAAACAAUGACUAAACAUCUGACUCAUAGUGAUUAUGAAUGCUCACUGGGUAAUACCAAUGUAAACAAAUUAACUAGUAUUUGUUGCGGAUGAGGACGUUGCGGAUUACUUCUUCACUUAUUGUUGCGGUAGCAAAAGAUUUGUUGCGGUAGAAAAGUAAACUUCGAAUUGAUAAGUUUAAGAGGGUCACUUUCUUGUUACAANUGUGUGUGUGUUUAGCUUAGCUGAAAAUUUGGGCAGAGUAACACUAGGUACUAAGCUUAUCCAAAGGUGGCAAUAAUAACGAGUUUAAACAUUUCCUAGCAACUGGACAACAUGAUAACUAGGUAUUAUCCUAUUCCUUUGGGCAUAAUUAUCUAACUAUAAUUACUGAUAAUUACACAAAGUUGUAAUUUAGACAUGCGUUACCUCCCGAAAAGAGUAGAAAAUAGGGUCAUGAACUCACAUGAUAAUUAUGAAACCAUUAAUAUAUGGUAGAAAUACACAAUCUAGGACUUCGAAAGACAUUCGGGGUAGUGGCAAAAGAAGCGAGAUGGAGAGAGAGUGAGUAAGAUUGGUGACGAAAAUGGUCUACGAAGCUUGCUAUUUGUAGCAGGUUUAGGGUGCGCGCUGGGAAAAUAUGCAUGAACCGUACCAUCAUGGCAUCUGUUGUCUCCUUAGUAUGUCAUGCUAUCCUGUAUUUCAAUGAGAUCGUAUGUUAGUACACACAUCGAACUACAUGUGAGCUCGCAUGACGAGAUAAAUCAACUUCGAAAUUCACAAUUCUCGCAUACAAACCCCAUUUUCGAUGAUUCUUAUAUACUUGUGUAAAUCUCUUCAUUCUCUACAACUUUCUUUUUGGUUGUUUUGGAUAGUUUUGAUUUUCGUUUUUCAACAUGUUUUUAUUAUUUUUAAAAAUCAUAUGUUCCUCAUACAAUCUAUGUUUUAAGUGUUCUUUGCUCCAAAAAUCCCUACUUUAAGUAGUACUACGUUUGAUUAGUUGGUGACUUUUCCCAAAAGUCGACCAAUCUCCUUAUAAUUUUCGACGUUGUAACAUUUUAGGUACGACAAACAUUUAUUUACUAUAAAUGUCAUAUCUCGCUCAUACUGUGUCGGAUUCUUGUUAAAUUUAUAUUUCUGGAAGGACAGUAGUGUGUAGAAUCUAAAUAUGUUAAACUGCACGCAAAGUGUUGCGACUUUUUGCGCAUUUAUUUUUGAGCCUAUGGUUCUGACGUUAAUAAGAGUGAUCAUUAAAAUUUUUUGUUUUUUAUAAGAUUGUUUUAUCAUGUUAUGUUUUUCGAAUAUCAACGGCGGCUGGAGGCGUGUAUUUUGUGGGUUGUCACAUAAUCCUUAAAUAUUUGAACCAUUUUCUCACUGGAGCACAAACCCAUUGUAAGAUACCCUAAUCCACUCCGAUGCAUUCUGAUCGAUCUCAAUGGAUCGGAUUUCAAAAGUAGAUGCAAUCAGUUAACACUCAUUUUUUUUCAAAUAGCUUCAACAUCGAGUUUCUAUCUUCAAAAAUAUUAUUUUCAGUAUCGAGUUCCAGUCUUCAAAUAUUUUAUUUUUUAGCAUUGAGUUCUAAUCUUCAAAAACAUUUCUUUUCAGCAUUGAGUUCCAAUCUUAAUAAAUUUUCCAUUCUAAUAAGGAUUAUUCAAAUUGACCUCUAUACCUUCAUCGUCUUUAUCUUCAAAUAGACAUCUGAAACUUCGUCUUCAUUAGAAUUUCAUAUUUAUUAGAAGUUCAUCGUCAUUUACUUAUUUGUCUCCCGCUUGUUUCAUAGUAUCAUCACUAAUCAGAAUAUUCAAAAUAUCAUUAAGCUUGGAGAGAGUACAUCCAUGAGUAAAUUUUCAGAACAAUAACCAAAUAUAAGAAGAGUUUCAUAUAGUCAUGGGAAGAAUGACCUGAAUCAUUAACUACACUUUGUAAAAUCUUCGUUUAGGUUGGUUUGAAUUGAGACCUCAAGGAUUCCAAGUGAAGGGUGUGAAAGGGCAAGAAAAAUUAGAUUUUGGAAAUAUGAAAGGUUGCUAGUGCAUCAUGUAAUCCUAUGGUGAUAGUAGGUGAUCAUCGCACAUAGUUUUAUAUCACCAUAUGUGAUGAAUUGAUUUUAUUCAAAACCCUAGGGCUGCUAUGCAGAAUGUGAUAUAAAUAUGGACAAAAGAAAUAAAUGGAUUGAUGGUGGUACAUUAAAACAUAGUUCAUUUCAUUCAUCAAUUCAAAAGUUGCAAGCUAGAAUUCAUAAACAAAUUUACCGUCAACUCCUUUGUGGUAUUGUUUUGUAGGUCUCACUCUUCAUCAUGGUGAUAACGAUGCCUACAUCCUAGGUGUUUUUGACUAGAGAUGUAUCAGGAUAUGCGUCUUUGUGUGUAUAAAAUGUAAAAAAUAUAAGAUGGUAAUAAGAAACCAGUUUUUAACUCUCCCAUGGUGAUAAUGAGAAUGCUCAUAAAAAACAGUUUUUGAGAAAAAAAUAAGUCUGAGUUGGUAUAGACUCGAACGAUCAAGGGUUAAUAAAAAAUUAUUGUUGAGUAAGCCGUCAAUUACUUAAAUCUUAGAAAAUGGAACUCUAUGUUUAGGUUUGUAUUUACCCAAGACAUCAUCGGUUUCCAAGAUUGGUUAAAAGAGACAUAGUACAUCUAUUGUAAAAACUGACCAAGUAGGUAUCUUUAUACUCCAAAAUCAGUAGAGAAAGGUUGGUCUAUGACUUUUGUUAAUACAACCUAUCGGGAAGAAAUCUUUAGUGAAAGUUUUCAUUAAGGAUUUUUGCAAACAAAGAGUCUUUGAGACUUUGGACAACCUGCUGCAUCAUGCUUCUAGGGACACCUAACUAGUAAAAUUUGAAAAAGAAGAGUACCUGAUCCCCAAGAAAGUAGUCAUGACAUCCAAGUUGUGUUCGAAUUGGAACACCCUUAUUUGCACCGGAACGAUUUCAUUCACAUCAGAUCCACUAUCGAAGUUGAAUAAGAACUUGUUGUGAUUCAUUAUGAUGGUUCAUAACCCAUCGUAAGUCAAUAGUAACCUUCAACCAAAUGUGACUUACUUCGAUGGAUUGCAACCCCUGGCAAGUGAACAUUCAAUUUUCACAAUAUGAAUAAUAAUCUUCAAGAAGACAAACACAAUCUUUUUGAUUUUUUAAAAUUUUUAAAAUUUAAAGACAAUCAUAUCUCUAGAUCUUGUUUAUGUUAGAAUUUUAUGCUUAUUAGCCCCAUUUUCUUGGUCUUUUUUGGUCGGAGCUACCUUAGACGAAAGGAGUUGUCCUUUUGGACAUUUUAGGGUAACUUAAGUGAUAAAAUUGUGAUCUUGGACGUUUUAGGCUCAUUAUAUCCAUGCAUGGACAUAAAUUUUGCAAUGCUUUAGACAUUCUAUAUGCUUUGGAUUUGAAGUUUGGACUUGAUAUCUUAAGGCAUUAAGUUAUUGGUUUGGAAGUUAGUGAACAAUGAGAAAACGCCAGGCGUUUGCAUGUGAAUGCUCUAUGUUCGGACGCCAGGCGUCGUAGGGAGGAACACAAGGCGUCCUGUGCAGAAGCCAAAUGGGUCGGUUUUUUGGGCCUUAGGCCAAUAGGGGUUUUGGGCUAAGUUUGAUUGGGCUUGUAUAUAAAGGGAAAAAUUGUCUUUUGCCCUCAUCAUGAUGAGGAGUGGACUAGACCAUGGGUUUGGAUUAAACUCAAAUUAUUGAUUGGGUUAUUUCUGGUUUUGGUUUAGCGUGAGGAGCAGUGUUUUCUGCAGAUCAACUGUUGUUUCAUUUAUCAUCAGUAGAGGUGAGUCUUCUCCCGGUGCCCGUGAGUCAAAGACACCAAUGGCGGCUUGCUAUAUUAUGUAUGUAGGAUGCUAGCAGUCUUUAUGAUUCUUGCAUGUUUGUAUGAGCCUAUGUGGUAGAAGAGUUGUAUUUUUGAUGAACGACAGGGUCUGGCCGUUAUUAUUGUGUUAUGAUGUUUAUAUAUGACUGAGACUGAUGAUAGUCUCCAGGGUUGUUGAUAACCCACCGGGCAUGCUGUUAGCCCACUAGGACUGUUGAUAGUCCCCAAGUUUGCUGAUAACUCAUAGUUUUUCAUUUGUGUUGUGAUGUGUGUAAUUUUUUGAGGAACUCACUAAGCUUUGUGCUUACGAUUUGUGGUUUACAUAUUUUAGGUUUUUCUUAUAAUAAAGGAGGAGCACGACUUGAUUGCAUCACAUCAAUGGGGGACAUGUGUACCUGAUAACUUUUAAUGAUACUCUAAUAAAUGUUUUAUGAUCUUGCAAUGGUGAUUUCAAUAAAUACAUAAAGCUUUAAUCGAAAAAAUUUGGGUUGAAUUCUGGGACAUUACAAACCCCCUCCCAAUGCUUAAAAUGAUGAAUUUGUUGUGAAUUCUUAGAGAGGAAUGAACAACUUAUUAAUGCAUAUAAAAGCAAAAAGGUGUAGCUAGGAAUGAAUGUGCCUGAUAAGAUUGCCGAAAUCUUUUAUUUUGACAUAAAUGUUGGCAAUAACUCAUAGUUCAUAAUUCCCAGGGUUGCUAAUAACUCAUAGUUGUUUAUUUGUGUUUUGCUAUGUGUAAUAUUUUGAGGAACUCACUAAGCUUUGUGCUUACAAUUUUCGAUUUACAUGUUUUAGGUUUUUCUUAUAUUAAAGGAGGGGUAUGGCUCAAUUGCAUCACAUUAAUGGGGGACUUGUGUAGUUGAUAACUUUUAAUGACACUCUGAUAAAUGUUUUAAGAUCUUGCAAUGGUGAUUUCAAUAAAUACUUAAAGUUUUAAUUGAAAAUUUUUGGUUAAAUUUUGGGACGUUACAAACCCCCUCCCCAAGCUUAAAAUCAUGCAUUGUCCUAAAUGUUAAGAGAGGAAUGAACAUCAUAUUUUAGCAUGAAAAAGAAAAAAGGUGGAGCUAGGAAUGAAUGUACCAGAUAAGAUUGCCAAAAUUUCUGAUUUUGACGUAAAUGUUGGCAAAAAAAUCUGAAUUUCAGCAACUCUGUCGAUCCUCUGAUUUUCCCAAGCUUUCUUGGAACUAUGACCAUCUCUUUAUUGAAAGCAUAAAAAAAACUAAAACUGCUCCUUGGGUUGCCUCACGGAAAGCUACCCAUUUUUAAAGUCGUUGGCUCGACUUUGCUUUACCAGAGUUACCGAUUAAGUAACUGGUGUGGUUGGGACUUUUAUAAAACUCAACUCUUUUCCUUGUCACUCCAGAUCCCCUCAGAUAUGGAAAGUUUGUUGGAUCUCGAACUUGUUCAACAAGUUGGAAAGACUCCAAAUAGCUAUCAGAAAAGUCUUUCAGAUGAUUUUCAGACUUCUUUCUUUUUCUGAUCUUCCUAUUAUUUCCAUAAAUCUUCUCUUUGAAUUCUUCAUAUUCUUUUCUUUUCAAUUUUUUCUCUGAUGAUUCCUUUGCAGAAAUUAGCUUCUCCUUUUCCCAAGCUUAUUUUUGUUCAAAUUCUUAUCAGUAGCUAACUUCUCCUCUUUUUCCCCCAAACUUUAAUUUCCUUUUCCAACUCUUCUGAUAUGUAUGAUAGAUUCCUUUCUACAAAUUUAACUUGCACAUACACAUUAUAAAACUCAUGGCAACCCACAGAUAAAGGAUUGUUGGUACCCAGAUAAUUAAAAAAAAUAUUAUCAGAAGGAAAAUUAUCAUCAUUAAUUUUAAAAUUAACCACUUCCUCAUUAAAUUCCAUUGAUAUCAUGCCAUUAAAAACAUCUAUUUUUGUCUUUACAGUUUUCAUAAAUGGCCUUCCCAAAGUAAAGAAUUUGUAUCUGACACAUCUAAAUUACCCAUGUCCAGAAUACAAAAAUCAGCGGGAAAGUCAAAUUAUCCACUUGGACAAGAACAUCCUCCACCAUACCUUUUGGGUGUACUGUCGAGUGGUCAGCUAACCAAAUAAUUGUCCCGGUCUUUUGUAAAGUUCCCAUUUUUUAUUUUUCAAAAACAGAAAAGGGAGGGACAUUGUCUAAAGUUCCUAAAUCAAGCAUGAUAUUUUGAGAAAUUAAGGUUCUCCAAUUUACAAGGAACUGAGAAAAUCCCCGGAUCCUUGCACUUUAGAGGUAAACCUUUUUAUAAAAUGGAAGAACUAUUUUUGCUAACUUUGAUAGUUUCACUAAAUUUCAUUUUUUUUCUUUGAAACAAAUAAAUCUUUCAGAAACAUUGCAUAUCGAGGGAUGUGUUGGAUAACAUCUAAAAGUGAGUACUAUUUGGCGUCACUGGCUGAUAUCUUCAUCUUCCCUUUUGCGCUUCGUAUUUUUCAGUCUUGAUAGAAAUGGAGGUAUGGGCUUGUAGUCCUUCAUAUUUGGCUUCACUGGCUGUGGUGUUUAUUUUUCUUCAGGCAUUUAAGAUUCUUCUUCAACCAGAACCUAUGCAGACUCUUCAUCUUCUUUUUUUUGUUUCUUUUAUAUCUUGUUCUUCUACCAGAACUUCUCCAUAACUUUUUCCACUUCUCAAUGAAAUAGUACUCACAUUGUGCUUAAGAUUGUUUUUAGUUUGCCCCGGUUACGUCCUUGAGACUCCAGACGACCCACAAAAGUAUCAAGUUGAGACACCUAUUGUUCCAUAUUCUUGAUAAUAGCUCUGGUUUUGUUCUGGAAUGCUUCGGUGCUCGUAUCAAAAUAUUUCACAAUAUCUUCUAAGGCCAUACUGGAAGUAUUGGGUUCCUGAUGCGAGUUCUGAUUUUUAAAUUUUUGACUCUGAUAAUUUUGCUAAUUCGGAUUCUGAAAGUCACGCAAAAAAUUUGGUUAUUAAUAAAUUCGUUCCUGAUGGAAUCCGGGUGGCAUCUGAUAUUGCUGUUUCUACUAAAAAUUAUUUUGAUAGCCUCCGACAGCUUUGACUAGAGUAACAUCCUCGUGUUGUAAGGGGCACAUAUUUGUUGGAUGUUCCAUCUUUAGGAAUAUACCACAUGGUUUCUUUGCAUGUAUUUUUUCCUUUGUCAAGAGCAAAAGAACUUUUUUUUAGUUUAGAUAUUUGAGACUCUAGAUGAGCAUUACUGAAUUCUUUGACACCCCUUCGUUGAUCCGGGUACCACUCGUCUUCAUUUGCGGAAUGUUUAGACUCCAUUUCUAGCUUCUCGGUCAGCUCCCGGAUAUCUAGUGGUGUCAUAUCACCCAAGGAACCAGCACUGGAAUCAUUUAUCAGGUGCCUCUUGAUGGGUUUCAAACCUUCAAAGAAAUAAUUAUAGAGUUGGUAAUCAUUGAUCCAUGUGGUGGGCACCGAACCAGAAGCUUUUUAAAUAUCUCCCAAUAAGUGUGUAAAGAAUGUCUUUUUUCUUGUUUGAUACCAAUGAUUUCUCUUUUGACACUGGAAACUUGCAUUUUUGGAAAUUACGUUUCUAAAAAAAGCUUCGUGAGUUUUGUGUAAGUGUUGAUCGAACUGGAUGGGAUAUCGUACAACCCUUAUCUUCCUGAAUCUUGAACUGAAAAGGAGAAUGCCCUUAACUUUAUCUGAUCUUUAGUGAUAACAUGUGGCUUUAUUCCUGAACAAACCACAUGAACUUCCUUGAGGAAUUUAUGUGGGUCUUCGUUUUCUAGACCUCAGAAUGUGGGAAGAAGAUGUAUCAACCCAGAUUUCAGUUCGAAGUUAUGGGCUUUCGGAAAGGUAAUACAAAGGGUCUUUUGAUUUACUUCUUAAGUGGCCAACUCUCUGAGAUUCUUUUCUGCUUCAUCUACACUAAUAGAUGAUUCCUGAUAUUCGGUUUCUGUAGAGUCUGUGGUUUCAUAUUUAACUAAGGAUGGUGCGGAGUAAGUUAGGGUCUGUUAGAAGGAGAAGAUGGGGGUACUUUCGGAAAAGAAUGAAAGAUAGGGUCCGUUUUGUUCCAAAAGGGAAUACCUUUGUGGUGUGGUGACUUUAGGUGGUAGGGAGGAUGAUGAUGAACAAAAGAAACUAAUUGAUUGUUUUUUCUUUGCUACUUCUAUCUUUAGUUUCCUUGUUGUUCUUUUAAUUUCAAGAACCUAUGGAGGUAUGUCUCCCCGACUGACCGCCUAUGCGAUAUAUCCCCAUGUCAUUCGCUCAUCGAAUAACAGACUCGAUAAAACAUUUCCAACUCUGAUUACUUGUCGCUCCUGAUGGAACAAGUCGUUAACCAUAAUUAGCUGCUGAACACUCAUGCCGGACACACCAGUCGACUCCGAACGAAACCCAAAGAAACGGGGGUCAUCUCGCACAAACGACCAACCUCUGAAAAUGCUAUCAGAACCUAUCUAAAGAGUGAAGCUCAAUACUCGGUCCUCAAAACUAAAUGAAGACCUUCCAGUCCACAUGGGAAUCGAAACUCUACUCUAGGUCCGACCUCUGUUCAAACAGAAUCAUUUCACUUCCGACCUCAAGAUUAUUCAGCUCCGACCCCAAAAUCAACGUCCAUGCCUGACCGAACUAUACACUGAUAGCCGGAAACAUAACUCCAGCUGCCUCUCAAUGCUAGACACCAAAUACGAAUACAAGAUCAACUCCCAACGCAACAGUUGAAUCUCCGAGGCUACCCUAUCCCAUUUGGCAAUAGGACUUCACAGUAGUCCUAUCCAACUGAGCUGACUCAUCUAAUCACACUAAACUCCACAAUCACAAAGUUCGCUUUACCCUAAGUGAUUUCCACAACCGAUUUGAGGUGGCACCCCACACACGACCUCAGUUUCCUACCACUCAUUACUUCAUGUGUAUCGUGGUCCUCCUCAAACCAAUGAACAUGUUCACCCAAGUCUAAAACAUCGAAUGGGAAAAACAACCCUCUUAGAAUGAAAUCCACCUGAAAUCCCAACCUGCUCGUCCUCCUCACAGAUAGAGCCAAACUCGCCCACCAGAGUCUCGCCCGACAUAAAGUUAGAACUACUCGUCCCAACCUAUUACUCAACUCAUGACCCAUGUUCCAUGAAUAUACACAUGCGUUACACCUCGAUCCUUCCGAUUUGCAACAACCCCUCUCUAACUCAAAACCUAACGGUUUCUGACCAUUGCUGAGAACCCAGUCUCACCCCUGGUUUGGCCACUAGGUUCCCAUGGACUCAUUUUUCAAGGCUACACAUGCCUAAGAGCCCCUCUGCAUCACACCCUAACAAGCAAGGUUGCGGCUCCCCACAGUUAUACACCACUCUCUCUCACUGACUAACAAAUUCUACGGCUCUCCGUAAGCCUAUGACACUCUCUCAUUUCCUCGCGAAUGCUACGACUCCUCGUAGUCUUAUGAUACUCUCUCUAACUCACAUAUGUUACGACACUCCGCAAUCACACAAUACUCUCUCUCUGACUCACGUAUGUUACGGAUCCCUGCAGUCACACGAUACUCUCUCUCUGACUCAGGUAUGCUACGGAUCCGCUUAGUAUUACACCUUCCCUUACUCUACAUGGGCUCUCUCCAUGGUCUCCCUGACUUUCCUCAAUGAUUACUCCCACCCAAACCCAUUCACUAUCGAACCACCCCAUAAUCUCAUCCUCAGGUCGUCACCACACUGAAUUCACUAUCAAAUACUCCAUGGUCUAACAUAGUUAGGUGCUCACACCUAUCCAGAUUAUGCAUCACUACUCUUGACUUAUGUUCUUGAAGACAUGGCACUUCCCUCAAUAUAGUCACACUCUCGAACAAUUCCCGCCUGGUGACCAUUAGCUGAUGAUGAUCUAACAUCUGAAAAUAUAGUCGCUUUGAUGGUCCACCUACCGUCGGAUACACCAAAGUCUCAUAAUAAUCCAACAACCUAGGGCACCGUACUCGAAUAUCUUGAUACACCCUUACGUAAUCUCACAAUUUCUUGCCACGACCACUUGUACACAACUCAAGACCUUGAAGUAUUCUAACUCACAACUGGAAGCAAAGAGGAAUCGCCACGAUUAACAUGUUAACAACAAUCCAGAGCCCCAUCUGCUACUGAUCAAGCCCAUGCGAACUACAUAUAUCGACCCUGUAGUUGAUCGUCAAUCAACUGCUUCCACUCUUGGAGUGCAUAUAACAAUUCAUACAUCGAACUAUUAGUCUCUCCGAAAUCAAAUCUUGAACUUGGCAACCUAACCAUCUCAAAACUCAUACAUUGGUACACCUGAAGAAUUACAAACCAUAACCAGAUUCCUGCCUACCGGCCACCUGUCGUGCAGUCACUAAUUUUCUGCUGAGAAUAUGCAACAUGCAUCAUCUCGCAGAAUCUCUGUUGAGAGGAAAAUUUGGGUAACAAACUUGAACAAACGUUAGAACUGUUGGAUUAAUGUCUAAGUCCAUAACUAUAAUUCGUAUGUACUUGACCCGACUCGGCAUGGUCCAUUUGGGUUGCAGUGCAUCAGAACAUUUGGAUACACCAUUUGUGAGAAGAGGACAUUUGUGACAUUUUAAUAUAUUAUAAGUUCUAAUAUAUUAAUAUGAAAUCAUGUUAUUUAAUUAUUAUUGAUCAAGAAUAAAUUUAGACUUGAUUUAGUGAUCAAAAGAGACUAGUUAAAUAUAUGGGGACUGAUUUUGUAAAUCAUUCAUUCUUAUAUAUAUGGGCUUAUGAUCCAUGAUUUCUUGUGUUGGGUUUAACCCAUUUGGUGACCCAUGGAUACUCCAUGGAGGUUAAAACCCAUGGAGCAUAAGGAAUGGGUAAAGUCAUGGGUUACAUGGUGUAACCCUAAUGUGCACACUAUAUAAGGACCCCUUUGGUUCAAGAAAUUGGCACUAGUGAUAUAUGUAUGAGGGCUAGCCGAUUUGAGCAUGAGUGUCUUCUUCUCAUGGUUAUUCCAUAUGUUGGUGAUGUUGUGUGAACCAUUUUAGGUGUCACACUUUGGUUACUAGGCUCUCGAUCUUCAUGGAAUUAAGCUACAUCAACAAGGUAUGUAUUUCUAUCUAGUUUAUUAUUCAAGUAUCAAAAGGUUGUAUGCUAGUUAGGGUAACACCUUGGAAUAUUCAUAUUUAUUUGUAUAAUAGAGAAAACAUAGAUCCAAGGUAUUUAGGGUUGCAUGUACACUUAGCAGUGUUAGAAUGCUUGUAACCAACUGUGGUAUCAGAGCCUAGGGCUUGUUUUCUUGUUAUACUUGCAAAAUAUGCUUAAAAAUCGAAGUUUUUUGUUGUCUGGGCAAUGGACUCGGCGAGUCCAUCAGGUGAAUCGACGAGUCCAUGCCUUAAAAUUCUUCAAAACGAUCCAACUCGUCGAGUUGGUUCAUGCACUCGACGAGUUGGACCCCCAAACAGCAUAUCUUUGACUGUUUUGGUUGGAAAUGGACUAGGAACAUUACCCUAAGCUGUUUUUGAACUUAUAAACCUAUUUUUGAUGUGGUAAUGUUCAUGCUAAUCCAAUUUCAAAGAUAAUUGUCCUUAGAUUCAUGUUUUGUAUUAGUUUAAGGUUUAGGCUAAUUACAUGAAAAAGUUUGAUUUGAAUUAUCUUGUUCUUAUGAGUUGCUUAGAUUAAUAGGAAGGUUAUGUGAAAUUGUUGUUUUCAAUUCAAAUUAAUCUAUGAGUUGGUUCUAAAAUGUGUUUUUGUAACUUUUCCUCAAGUUAUAUGAAAUUUCACAUUGAAGAUCCAUAAAACUCAUAAAGAUUUCCAUAAGUUAUGAAUAAGGAAGAGUCACAUUAUUUUAUUAGUUUAUAGUCUUCCAUAACUUGUCCUCAAGUUAUGGAACUUGAAGAGUUAUUGGAUUAAAACUACUUUAAACACAUAAGUUAUGGAAUUUAAUAGUUUUGAAUAUUUUCAAAACUUGCCCUCAAGUUUUGGAAUUUGAAAAGUUUUCCCUUAGGAAAUACUUUAAUUCCAAGUUAAGCCCUUAGAAUUUUAAAAGUUAAAUUCAACCCUUAUAAUUUAUAAUAUUGUAAGUUAAUAAUAUAUAUAUAUAUAUAUAUAUANUAAUAAUAUUUAUAUAUAUGUAUAAGAGUAAAGUCAGUCUUACCAUUAGUAGGCCUCAUUCACGAAGCCGGUCUAUAAGGGGGUAUAAGGUUACUGCCUAUAAGAUGGCAGUUUAAUAGGUGUCCACUCUCACCCACCGCUUCCUUGACUGGUGGAUGGUCGUUAGCCGAAUGGGUAGGACAAGGAAUAUAAUUCUCCCUACAUUAAAAGUAUUAAUGAUAAAUAUAAAGUAACUAAAAGUUUUUUAUAAUUCCCAAUCUUAGUUACUUUUGGAAAAUGUGGAUAAGGUGCUAAUCCAAGAAAUUACACUUUGCACUUUGCUUAAGUAGGUUAGUGGAGUGUGUGUGGUUAACCGGCACACUAGCUUGAUUUAACAAGGUAGGCAAAGGGUAACAUAAUAUUUAUAAUAGUAUUGGUGGAGCGUGUGUGGUUAACUGGAAAAUUGAUUAAGGGAUAAAUAUUAAGGGUACCAAGUGAUUUUCAUGGUUACUUCACACCUUGUUUUGUGAUCCUCAGCAUCCUAGUCACAAAAACUGAAGGGCACACUCGAGAUUGAGAAAUGCCAUUGAAUUGUUCAAUGAAUCUCAAAAGAUCUAGGAGUUUCAAAUCCAAGUAAAACCUAAUUAAAUUAUUUCAUUUUCAUGGUGGAAAUUGGUGAAUGGUCAUUUGCCUACCUUCAAAUAUAUUAUAGCUUGGAUUACGGCAUCCCUCUUCCAAGUUAUAAAAGUAUUGUGUUGGGUCCUAGCCUUAAUAUUUCAUAUUGGGUGUUAUAUUAAGGACUUUAAAUCAACUAUCUUGAAUAUCUCCCAAAAGAUGUCUAGUUCAGACAUCUAUGAUCUUCCCAAAUCUCAUUGAACUUCACUUCCUCCACCUCCUCCAAUUAUCCUGCCUUACCCACAAGUUGAAGGUCACUCUAUCCCUGUUCGCAAUCAAGGUCUAAGUGUGAUAGCAACUUGGAGAUGAGGUCACAUAUUGACAUGCCAGGAGAGUUGGGUGUCAAAGUCUUAAGAAAGUCAGAUGUUCAAUCACUUUCUAAGUCACGUACUGAGUUCCUUUGGGACGACUAUGAAACAGACUAUAACAUGACCUUAAUGAUCUUAUCCAUUUGCUUGGUGCUACUGAAUCAGAAAUGAUUUGAUGACUAUUAAAGAAAAUUUGAUUAAGAAGAUCAACUUCCUAAACUACCAUGGACAUUGACAAUAGAGACAUUGGAUAUCUAGAAAAGCCUUCUCCUACCAAGGAAAUGGAUUGACCACAGUCAACUCGGUUGACCUAAUGGUAAAGAGAAAGGCUAAGUCUGAGAUUAUCCCAUGUACCAUUCCCAAAGGGUCCAUAUAGUUCUAUUGCCAAAAGGAAAGGCCAUUGGUUGCGAAGCUGCCAAAUUUAAUAAGGCUUGUAAAGUCAAUAAGUUUGACUCUACUUUAGGCAAUGUCCACUAUCUAACUUGGUUAUGUUUCUAUUAUGAUAUUAUUAUUACAUGAUUGUAUACUAGUUAGGGUAAUACCAUGGAAUAUUCAUAUUCGUUUGUAUAAUAGAGAAAACAUAGAUCCAAGGUAUUUACGGUUGCAUGUACACUUAGGAGUGUUAGAAUGCUCAUAACCCAACAAGAACAAGUAACAAUGCGUAAUUAAAUUUAACUCAGUGGAUCAUAAAGCUCAACAAUAAUAAGUUAGAAUUAGAUAGUUAGAUAGUUAGGUGCAUAAAUAUAAGGAAAUGUAAAUGACAACAAGUUUUAUAUCAAGAAGACACUUAAGCUGAUUCUUAACAAGGAUUUCAAUCAAACCAUGUUAGUAAGUGAGAUCAGACUUGGCGAUUAAGUCAAGAAUGACUUGCUUCGAAGAGAUAUUAUAAUCUUCAUAUAUUAGUUUUAGUUUAUGAGAAUCCUUGAAGAUGAGAAAGUAAGAGAGAAUAUGCUAUUCAAGAUAGAUAUAUUCUUCAGAAAUAGAGAGGUCUAUUUAUAGAGUCUCAAAGAUUACAAAGUUAAAUAUGUGUAAGGUGGCCAUGUAAGGAACACUCGAUAAAGAAAUGUAAAGACAUAAGAUAACAUAUAAACUAAAACUAAGAUAAAAGAAUGAUGACAUCGACUGCGGAUGUGGUUCUUUAUUGCGGUUGUGAUCUUGACUGCGGAUGAGGAGAUGGCUUCAGAUUUGUUAAGUUUAAGAGGGUCACUUUUAUGCUUCAACAAUUUCCCCCUAAGUGACCUCUUCAACUUUGCUUUCACUCUUCGAGCUUCAAGAAUUUGAUGAGAAUCCACCAGAACUUCCUGACUUCUCUGAUCUAAAGAAUUCUCCCAGAGAUUUCAAAUUGAACUUCAGCAGUGGUGUGUUUUGACUUGUUGACUGCAGUUUGAGUAAUCUCUAGUUGCUUUUGAGUCAAACGGUUCAUGGUAGUGAUUGGGAUUAAAUAUUUUUUUCCAUCAUUUUUGCGUUUGAAAAUGACUCCAAGAUCCGGGAAGUUAGUUGCUCCAAGUGAUCUCUCUUGAAAGCCUUCGGUGAAAACCAGAGCUGGUUUAAGAGGAGGGAGGUUGAACUUCUGAGCAAGAACGGGGUGGAUUUUCGCAUCAAUGUUGGCAAAGUUAGAAACUGUUCCUUUUAGAAACAUACAGACCCUUUCGUACGCAAUCUUCAUUUUAGGAUUCUUCUCACACUUGUUCUGAAAUACCUUAGCAAUCAGGAAAUUUCUUCCGGGUUCAUGUAAUGGAGGUUAGCUUGGGUGCAGACAUAGUCUGAAUUUCUUCUCGUGAGAGUGUACUGAAUAAAAUCUUCUUUCAUGAAUUUCUUGGGCUUGAACUUUUUGACUGUGGUAGGCUUGUCAUUUGACCAAAUAUUUUCAAUUGUAGAUCCAUGCUUAGCAUGGAAUUUGUUAAGUCUUUCAAAUUCUAGAGGCAACCUCUGAUCAUCGGCGAGAUUACGGUCAAAUGAUUCAAAGACGGUGAAGAAUUGAGCUUUGGGAGAGAUGGGGAUAUCCCAAUAACCGUUAAAUGGGGGUUUCACGUAUGUGAGAUAGGGUUGGUAGUCAUCAUCAAGUAAUCUUCUGGUGGUAUUAAUCUAGGAGUUGAUGAGGGAUUCAUCCAUAGUGAUGUCAAAUCCGUGAUCCAUCCAUAUCAAUUCUCAAAACAUAGUUUCUUUCCAGUCAACUUUCCUUUGCUUGGUUUUGGGAGAGUCGUAGGAGUUUUCGGAUGACAUUUCUAGGGCUAGAUUUAUGAGGUGAGGGGGAGUUGCCGGAUACAUGGAAGAGGUAUGUUGAACAUCUUGGACUUUUUCUUGUUGCGGUGGAGACUGAUGAGGGGAGUAAAUUUGACUGUGUUGAGGAGAAGGCACAUGAGUCUUCUUUUUUGGAGAUGGUUGGGGGGAAAGUUGUGGAGAAGGCACAUUUUACUGAAUGAUUGGCUGCUGAUGAAUGAGACCAAAUUGGAUAGGAGUUUGGAAGUGUUGAUGUUGUUGUGAAUGUUGAUGGGAGAUGCGAUCCGAAUCACGGUCUUCACUUCCCCCUCUUGAGGAAGGAACACCUGGUGCUUCCUCAAGCCAUUGUUUAAGACCAUCUAUUUUUACACAGACGUCAUUAAAUUGGGCCUUAAGUGCAUCAACAAGCUGUUAAUUGUUGGGGAUUGCGGGUUUGAAGAGCAGUUUGUGGAUCUCCUUGGGAAGUUAUAAAAUCUCCUGGCCAUGAAAAUUUAAAGAGAAGGAGCGAAAAAGGAUGUUGAUGGUAGAUUGCAAUACGCAGAUGGUGGAUUCAUAAGCAUUGUGAGUUUCCUCGACAAGCUUCUUUGACUGAGUAGAUUGAUCCGCAAUGGUGGAUAGGAUUUCAGUCUUGAUUGUGGAUACUGCAGUGAUUAGUCGCUCCACAGCGGAAAGGAAUUAUUGGUGAUCAGCUUUGCGGUUUUUGUCGAGGGCUCGAAUACCCAUUUCGACCUUGAGAGAGAUCCACUCAGUAGCGAGUCACUCUCUUGCUUCAAGACGAUGAAUUCUUUCAAUGAGAGAUUACAGACUGGGUGCAUCUUCUGGUUGCGGCAUCUUCUGGUUGCGGUUGGCUAGACUUCACUGCAGCCAGAACCUGAUCAACCUUGUCUUGGAGACAUAGUUUUGGAUAUGGUAUCUAAGUCCAUAACUAUUUCUUGUAUCUACUUGACCCAGGUGGCAUGGUCCAUUUGGGUUGCAUGGCAUUAUGAUAAUUGGAUAGACAAAAUGAGAAGAAGGACACUUAUGAUUUGUUAAUAUAUUAUAAGUAAUAAUAUAUUAAUAUGAAAUCAUAUUAUUUAAUUAGUAAUGAUCAUGAAUUAAUUUGGAAUUAAUUUGUAAAUCGUCCAUUCUUAUAUAGUGGGCUAAUGAUCCAUGGUUUAUUGAAUUAGGUUAAAACCAAUAGGUUGCUCCAUGGAUGCUCCAUGGAGGUAAAACCCAUGGAUCAUGGAGGAACUGAAAAGCCAUGUCAAUUAGGGUUUACAUGGUGUAACCGUACUUGUGACACACAAUAUAAAGACCCCAUAGGCUAGCAAAAUCAGCACUUAGAAAAGAACAAGGAGGGCUAUCCGAUUUUGAGUGAUAAUAUGCUUCUCUCAAGUUAUUACAAGCGUUGUGGUGUUGUGUGAAACAUUUGAGGCAUCACAUUUGGGGUGCUAGGCUCACAAAGUUCUCAAGGAAUUCAAGCAACAACAAAGGUUUGUUAUUCUACUAGCUUUUAUGUUCAACUUCCCGAUGCCAUGCUAGUUAAGAUAAGAACCUUGAAAAAAAUCAAAUUUGCAUGUAUCUUAGUAAAACAUAGAUCCAAGGUUUCUAGGGUUGCAUGUACACCAUAGGAGUGUUAGAAUGCUCAAAACCCUUCAGUGGUAUCAAAGCCUAGGCUUGUUUUCUUGAUACUUGAUGAAAAUUGUAAAAGACAAUUAAAAAUUCUGUUUUCUGCUGAGUGAACUCGCCGAGUCCAUGGGGGACUCGACGAGUCGAUGUGUAUCUUCACCCUACUCAUCGAGUAGGUUCGUGCACUCGACGUGUAGGAGGCCCAGAGUGCAGUUUUUCAAGUUUUUAAGCAGUUUAUCUCAUGACUAUAAUUUGGUUAUACAUUGAUUGUACGAAAACGCAUUGGUAACUCGAUGUUACGAAAUGUGCUUUUGUGUAUGAUUCAACUUGUUAGUAAAAGUAUAUGAGUCAAAUUUUAUCUGCUCCUGCUAGUCCUUGGAGGAUUAGAAGCGAUAUCUGGGGCCCUCGAUGAUUUUGUUUUGACCUAUGUACCGGGUCCGGUCAGAACCAAACUUGAUGUGUUGAGUUUAUUUCUACGUCAAACAAACCAGAAAUGGGAAAACAAAUUGUUGGACAAUAAGUACGACAUUGUUCCAUCUAUUUGUCCGGCUUAUAUCUUGAGAGCAGAGGAUUAUAUGAUCACUUAUCUUAAAUGGCAGGUCAUCUUAGUUGUACGAGACUUUGAAAGAGCUACGAUUGCUGAUCAGUUCCUGAAGUCAUACUUGCAGUUUUAGUUAUUAGACUUAUCCAAGUGGGGGACUGUUGGAUAAGGUGUCUAAGUCCAUAACUAUUUUUGGUAUGUACUUGACCCGGUUGGCAUGGUCCAUUUGGGUUGCAUGUUAUCAUGAUAAUUGGAUAGAAAAAAUUAGAAGACAGACACUUAUGAUUUCUUAAUAUAUUAUAAGUUAUAAAAUAUUAAUAUGAAAUCAUAUUAUUUAAUUACUAUUGAUCAAUAAUUAAUUUGGAAUUAAUUUUGUGAUAAAAAAGAGAGUAAUUAAAUAUACAAGGAUUGAUUGUGUAAAUCGUCCAUUCUUAUAUAGUGGGCUAACGAUCCACGGUUUAUUGAAUUGGGUUAAAACCCAUAGGGUGCUCCAUGGAUGCUCCAUGGAUGUUAAAACCCACGGAUCAAGGAGGAAAUGAAAAGGCAUGUCAAAUAUGGUUAACAUGGUGUAACCCUACUUGUGACACACUAUAUAAAGACCCCAUAGGCUAGCAAAAUCGGCACUUAGAAAAGAACAAGUAGGGAUAGCCGAUUUUGAGUGAUAGUGUGCUUCUCUCCAUGUGAAUUUGUCAAAACCAUCAUCACAAGACAAGAUAAAUGACUAAUCCAAACUCAUAUGGAUUGAACUUGUGUAGUCUUAACUUCUUGCCACCUGGCAGCACAAGGACCUGCCAUUGCUUCCAAGUUUUUAUGCAACCAAUUGAGAACCAUCAUAACUCAUAUGCAAAGCCAACUUUCACUAGAAUGGGCACAUAAAUAGGAAAAAUGUCAACACGAUAGGUUAUAAACCUCAAGUCGUGAGCUAGUGAGAAACUAUAGGUUUUAUUCUUUAUUAGUUCUUGAAAUUCUUUCAGGAUCAUUUAGACUCCCACUGCCCUCUUGACAUAUAAGACUCUCUUGCCAAAUAUUCAAGAAAUAGUGCGAAUUCUUUAUCAAGACAAACACUUCACACAAUUGGCCUUAAUUGGUCUUUGUUUUAUCCAAAACAUCACAACUUACCAAUUUCAAAUGUACAAGAGUAGGACACUUUUACUCCUACAUUUGAUAAGUGUUAUAAACCUUUCUUUAAGAUAUAUCACUCAACUUACAGUCUUGGUGUAUGACUCUAACUCAUCUUCUUGAUUUAAUCAUUCCGACAAUUCUUGAUUCCUCUUCUUAGCCGUAGGAAUGCACUAAGAUGUCCUUAGAGGACCAAUUGUGAUAUGGUUUAUUCACCAUUGAGAUAAUCACAAAAACAUGAUACAAAGGUACUCUCCCAUCUUUUCAGAUUUGAGAAAAUUUUAUCCUUUGAUUCUUCUCAUUCGUUCUGCCAUACAUUGAAACUUUUCCAAUGUUCUAGAAUUAUACUUAAACUGGUAAGUAUAACCAUAUUUACUAAACUUUAGUAAAUCAUGACGAAUAGUCUUAUCGAUCUUCUGUAGUAGACUUGACCAGUGCACAAGAAUAUGUACUCGAUCCCUUAGUCCUUCACUUGACUCAUAUAUAAAUGUGAACAAGGAAUUAGUCUUAAUUUUGCAAAGGUGAAAAUUCUCAUUCGUCAUACUAUGCAACUUGCAUGAUUUCCAUGUUUUUAUCCAAUUGAAACCUUGGGUGAUGAGAAUAUUUCCUUAUUUGGUAAAUUUAGACACUACCACAAAUGAAAGAAUCAAAUUCAUAUUUCCAUUAUUGCUAGAAAAAUACAAACAUCAAUUCUCCAAAAGUACCAUUGCAAGGACAUAUAAAAUAAAACAAAAUUUUAUUUAUUUAUCGAAUGCGGAAAAACAUUCCUUACAAUGCAACUUUAAAUGGAAACUAUGCUAUUACAUAUUUCCUAGCAAUCUGUCAUAACUCUCUAAGCAGUAGCUCAAGAAUCCGAUCUUCAAACCAUGCGAUUGAAAUCCAUCUUCGCAAUCAGAUUCAACAUACUCUUUCUCUAAGUUCCCUUCCCUUUGCUUGAUCAUGCCAUACAUUAAAAAUGUAUUAAAAAUUUUCAAAUAGGAACUUAAGAGAGUUAGAAAGUGGACUUACCUGAAGCAUAGUCUUGCUUUUUUAUUAGACUUUCUCUCAGAUCUUUUAGGUAGUUAAGGUAGCUUCGCAACCAAUGCCCCUUCCUUUGGUAACAGAAACAUAUGGGCCCUUUGGGAAUGGUGCACUGGACUAUCUCAGACUUUCCUUUCUCUUUACCAAUUGGUCAACCGAGUUGACUAUCGCCAACCCCUUUCCAUUGGGAAGAGAAAGCUUUUCUGGAUAUCCAAUGUUACCAUUGUCAAAGUCCAUCGAAGUUUGGGAAGUUGAUCUUCUAACCAAAUUUGCUCUACUAGUGCUCCAAGUCAUUGCUGAUUCAGUAGCACAAAGCAAAUAGAUAAGAUCAUUAAGGAUCAUGUCAUAGUCUUUUACAUUGUAGUCCAUAAAGAACACACUAUGUGACUUAGGAAGUAAUUAGUCAACAUCCAACUUCCUCAAGAUUUUGACACCUAACUCUCAUGGCUUGUCAAUAUGUGACUUCAUCUCCAAGAUGUGAGCACACAUAGACCUUGCCUGCCAAUAGGGCUUGAGUGAACUUGAACUUGUGGGUUAGGGAUGAAACAUAGAGUAGGUAGAGGAAGAGAAGAAUGAUUUCCGGGACAUCAUCUUCAUUAGGAAACCUUGUUCCUAGAGUUUUGGGAAGAUCAUAGAUGUCUGAACCAGACAUCUUUUGGGAGAUAUUCCAGAUAGUUUAUUUAAAGUCUUUAAUAUAACACCGAAAUAUGAAAUAUUAAGGCUAGGACCCAACACAAUAUUUUAUAACUUGGAAGAUGGAUGCCAUAAUCCAAACUACAGAAUAUUUGAAGGUAGGCGAAUGACGAUUCACCAAUUUCCACCAUGAAAAACGAAAUAAUUUAGUAGGUUUUAUUUGGAUUUGAAACUCCUAGAUCUUUUGAGAUUCAUUGAAAUUUCCAAUGGCAUGUUUCAAUCUCGAUUGUGCUCUCUCAAGUUUUGUGACUUGGAUGUUGAGGAUCACAAAACAAGGUGUGAAUAACCAUGCAAAUAUACUUGGUACCCAUAAUAUUUACCCAUCAAUCGAUGCGUCGGUUAACCACAUGCUCUCCGUCGAUACUAUGAUAAACAUUAAGUUACCCUUUUCCUAUCAAGUUAGUGUGCUGCUUAACCACACAUGUUCCACUAACCGUCUUAAGCAAAGAGCAAACUGUAAACUCAUGGGUUAGCACUAAAUUCACAUUUUCCUAAAGUAACUAAGAUUGUGAGUUUAUAAAAGGUUUAGUUACUAUAUAUUUAUCAUUAAUACUUUUAAUGAAGGGAGAAUUCUAGUCCUUGUCCUACCCAUUCGGGUAGCAACCCUCCAACAGUCAAGGAAAAGGUGAGUGAGAGUGGACACCUAUUAAACUGCCAUUUUAUAGNUAUAUAUAUAUUAACUUAUACUACUAUAAAGUAUAAGGGUUGAAUUUUAAAAUUUAAAAUUCUAAGGGCUUAACAAGGAAUUAGAGUAUGAAUGAGGGAAACUUUACAAAUUCCAUAACUUGAGGGCAAAUUUUGAAUUCUUCAAAAUUUUUCAAUUCCAUAACUUAUGUGUUUAAAGUAGUUUUAAUGAAAAAACUCUUCAAGUUCGAUAACUUGAGGACAAGUUAUGGAAGACUUUAAAACAUCUAAGAAUGAGACUCUCCAUUUUUCAUUACUUAUGGAAAUCUUAUGAGUUUUAAUAAUCAUAAAUGUGACUUUUCAUAUAACUUGAGGACAAGUUACGUGAAAACAUAUAUUGAACAACUUUUAUAUUAAUUUGGAUUGAAAACAUAUUAUCGCAUAACUUUUCUACUAAUCUAAAUCAACUCAUAAGAACAAGAUAAUUCAAAUCAAACAAUUUUCAUGUAAUUAGCCUAAUCAUUAAACUAAUACAAAACAUGAAUCUAUUGACAAUUAUCUUUGAAAUUGGAUUAGCAUGAACAUUACCACAUCAAAAACAGGUUUACAAGUUCAAAAACAACUUAGGGUGAUGUUCCUAGUCCAAUUCCAGCCAAAAAUUUCGAAGUGUCACGCCUCAAAUGGUUCACACAACAUCACUAACAUCUUGGAAUAACUUUAGAGAAAAGGUUCCUAUGCUCAAAUUGGCUAGCCCUCAUGUGUACACACACUAGUGCCAUCUAUUUGUCCGACAUUGUUUCAUCUACUUGUCCGACUAAUAACUUGAGAGGAGAGGAUUAUACGAUCACUUAUCUUAAAUGGAAGGUCAUCUUAGUUCCACGAGACUUUGAAAGAGCUACAAAUGUUGAAUGGUUCCUGAAGUCAUACUUGCAGUUAUAGUUAUUAGACUUAUUCGAGUGGGUGACUGUUGGAUAAGGUGUCUAAGUUCGUAACUAUUUCUGGUAUGUACUUGACCCGGUUGGCAUGGUCAAUUUGGGUUGCAUGGCAUCAUGAUAAUUGGAUAGAAAAAAUGAGAAUAAUGACACUUAUGUUUUGUUAAUACAUUAGAAGUUAUCAAAUAUUAGUAUGAAAUCAUAUUAUUUAAUUAGUAUUGAUCAAGAAUUAAUUUGGAAUUAAUUUUCUGAUCAAAAAGAGACUAAUUAAAUAUACGGGGAUUGAUUGUGUAAAUCAUCCAUUCUUAUAUAGCGGGCUAAUGAUCCAUGGUUUAUUGAAUUGGGUUAAAACCCAUAGGGUGCUCCAUGGAUGCUCCAUUGAGGUUAAAACCCACGGAUCAUGGAGGAUAUUAAAAUCCAAGUCAAUUAGUGUUUACAUGGUGUAACCCUACUUGUGACACACUAUAUAAAGACCCCAUAGGCUAGCAAAAUCAGCACUUGGAAAAGAACAAGGAGGGAUAGCCGAUUUUUAGUGAUAGUGUGCUUCUCUCAUGUUAUUCCAAGAGUUGUGGUGUUCAAUGAAACAUUUGAGGCAUCACAUUUAGGGUGCUAGGAUGACAACGUUCUUAAGGAAUUCAAGCAACAACAAAGGUAUGUUAUUCUACUAGCUUUUAUGUUCAAGUUCCCCAUGCCAUGCUUGUUAGGAUAAGAACCUUGGAAAAAUCAAAUUUGCAUGUAUCUUUGUAAAACAUGAAGGGUUUUGAGCAUUCUAACACUCCUAAGGUGUACAUGCAACCCUAAAUACCUUGGGUCUAUGUUUUCUCUAUUAUACAUGUAAAUAUCAAUUUUUCCAAGGUACAGUUCUAACUAGCAUAAUAUGAAGAACAUAUAAUAUAAAUUCUAGUAGAAUUACAUACCUCUUUAUUGUAGCUUGAUUCCAUGGAGCUUAAGGGCCUAGUGCCUCAAGUGUGACUCCUCAAAUGGUUCACAUAACAUCACCAACAUCUUGGAAUAACUUGAGAGAAAAGGUUCCUAUGCUUAAAUUGGCUAGCACUCACGUGUAUACACACUAGUGCCAAUUUCUUGAGCCAUGGGGUCCUUAUAUAUAGUGACUAUCAGGGUUACACCAUGUAACUCAUGUCUUUCCAUAUUCUUCAAGCUCCAUGGGUUAUAAACCUCCAUGGAGUAGCCAUGGGUUUAGCCCAACAUGAAGAACUAUGGAUCAUAAGCCCACAUAUAUAAGAAUGAAUGAUUUAGACAAUCAAUCCCCAUAUGUUUAAUUAGUCUUCGUUUUAUCACAAUAUUAAUUCCAAAUUAAUUAUUGAUCGAUACUAAUUAAAUAAUGUGAUUUCAUAUUCAUAUAUUAGAACUUAUAAUAUAUUAACAAAUCAUAAUUAUCCUUUUCUCACAAAAGUCUAUCCAAAUUGUUCCGAUGCCAUGCAACCUAAAUGGACCAUGCCAAUCGGGUCAAAUACAUACAAAUUAUAGUUAUGGACUUAGACACUAAUUCAACAAAACAUAGAUCCAAGGUUUCUAGGGUUGCAUGUACACCAUAGGAGUGUUAGAAUGCUCAAAACCCUUCACUUAGAAACUCCUUUCUAGAGACUGCUGAUUUCUGUUACUUUUUCUUUUCUUUGGGCUUUGAAGUAGAGUGUUGGGAUCCACCUUAUUCAUCUUCUUCGUCGAUGGUCAUCAUCAUGUCGUCUGAUGGCUCGGGUUUAUUGACUUCAUUCAUUUCAAUGUCAUCAAAUCUAUAAGUAGGUCCAGAAAUGACUUCGAUUGCGGUUCCCUUCUCUUGUGAUUCUUGGACUAUUUUUGUUAGAGGAAGCUUGGAAGAACAUGCACCAUCUGGAAGGGACUGACCGCUGCGUAUGGUCUUAACUAUUGCGGUUAUCGAAUCUUGGAUUUUGAGAAUGUUGGCUAACGUGUUGGCAUUAUUGAUUACGUCUGCCCAGUACUAAGCAACAACUUGUAUUUCUUUCUCCUUUUGUUGAAGCUAUUUAGUUUGCCGAUCCUUCCUUGCUUGAAAUGCCCUGCGAAAAGCUGCAUACUUUUUGACUUUGGAUUCAGUAGAUGGGUUAUACUGAAUCAAAGAGUCAUCAGAGUCAUAUUCAUCAAUUCCUUGAUGUCGCACCGAGGUGUCCCUCUGGUUCACGGAUCCUUGCACAUUGGUGGUCACCGUGCCUAAACCACCUGUUUGUAAGGUAAGCGGAGUAAGAUUUCCUGAGCUUCCUCGGUUUCCUUGAGCCGUAGUAAAUUUUGGCCAUGACUCAGUUCUGGCAUGGGCUGAAGAAUUGCCCUGCUCUUGGGAAGAUGUAUCAAGUGAUGUGAUUACUAAGUCUAGUAUGGGGCGCAACUCCUGUUCUUGAAUGAAAUGAAGUUCGGAAGCCCUAGAGGCCUUCGGGCGAGAACCAAUUAAAUCCUCUUGGGAUUUAGUUGGAGGUGAGUCUUCACAAAUAGGUGAAACAGGCACACUUGUUGUGCCCAAGUGGCUAGAGAGGGUAGUUGCAAAUGGGCCUGCGGGGACCCCAAGGACUACCAGAGCCUUUUGAGAGGCUAAGGUAUCGGUCUAGUGGUGCAUUUGGCUAGGACUAGGGUUUCAUCUUCAUUUCUUGAGAACAAGAAUUAAGAUUGUGUCAUCAUCAGACUCAUCUUCAACAUCGACUGCAACGGUUUGAUCUGGAUCAGAAUCUUCAUCAUAGGAUAGAACAUGUGUAUUUUUGCAUUUCUUGGAGGGUUCUGCGGUCUUGGAUGUUGCACAUUUCUUAGAUUUCUUAAGGGAGGUUUUUCUGGAAGAAAGAUUCCUGAGCCUCGAUGAUUGAGUGGUAGUAGUUGGGGUUGCGGUGCUUACUGGGCCAUGAGGGUUUGUCGAGGCUAAUAUAGACUGACUAGGUAGAGGCGGGGUAGAAAGGUAUGGGUCAAUACCUUCUGUAGCCUUAAUGUGAUUGGUGACUUCUUGAGUCUCAAGUCGAACAGUGGUCAGAAUGUGUACAGGAAGCGUCUUGCUGUCCAAAAAUAGAUUGAUCAUUAGAAGGAGGAUACCUUUUGAGAUAACGAGUGACAUAGAAGUUGAUGUCUCCGCCCAUGCUAAUCUUUGCGUCACGGUGAAAGUCUGAAAUGCAUAGGGACCAAAAUCUUGCAAAAGUGAGCUAUGUAGGGUUUAAUUUUCGAUUCUCCUUGGGAAUGUACUGAAGGAAGUCAUCCCAUAUGAUCUGACCGUAGUUGAGAUUGUGCCCAGUGAAAAUGCUCUACACUAAUUCGAGUAGUUUGACGCCCAUGUUAUCUAUUCAUCCGGUUCUUCCUGAGACACUGCAGAUGACAAAGAGGCAAACAAACUACUAGACCGCAUGGAGUUGAUUUUUCUUGAACUCGCCUAUACUCUUAAGCUUUUUCUGGUACCCAUAUGGUAGACUAAAGUGAUGAAGUCCGUCACACUAGGAGUAAAGAACUUUGUAGAGGGAUGUACCCAUCUGAGGUGUAUUUCUCCUGAUGGAUGAAUAUACCUUGAAGGACCUGUUUCACUUGAAGUCUUAGAAAGAAAUUAAUCUCUCUAUUCAUGCUCAUGAGCUUCGCAAAUUCAUCCACCAUCCCUUGAUCAGUUGAUCCGAAGAUGAUAUCAUCCACAUAUAUUUGUACAAGCGUAAGGUGAUUACCAUUUUCUUUUCAGAAUAAAGUGGGAUCAAUCACUCCUAUUUUGUAACCGGAUGAGACAAGAAAUUCUAAGAGAGUCUCAUAUCAUGCUCUUGGUGCUUGUUUUAGACCAUAGAUUGCUUUCUCAAACUUAUAACAGUGAUCUGGGAAUUCAUGACUUUCGAAACCCAGAGGUUGUUGAAGAUAAACCUCCUCUUUCAAUUCACCAUUUAGGAAGGUAAUCUUUACAUCCAUUUGAUGUACAUUGAUGUUCUUAUGAGCGGCAUGCGCUAAGAAGAUGUGUAUGCCCUCCAUCCUAGCUACGGGGGCAUAUGUUUCAUAAAAAUCAACAACUUCAAGUUGACAAUAAACCUUAGCGACUAGUCUCUAUUUGUUUCUAACGACCGCACUGGAUUCAUCUAAUUUAUUUUUGUAUGCCCAUCUUUUUCCAAAAAUAGUGUGACAUUUUGGCUUCGGAACGAGUUGCCAUAGUUUUUUUCUUUCAAAUUCUGCCAGUUCCUCCUGCAUUGUAGAUAUCAAGUCGGGCUCCAUUAAGACUUCUUUGAUGGUUCUAGGCUCGACCGAUGACAUAAACGCUACAUAGUGACAGUGAUCAGUUAAAUCUUUAGAGGAACGAGUUUAAAUAUCUGUGGAUGGAUUUUCGAUGAUUUAACCCGGUGGGUAGUCCUUCGUUCAUACAUGAAGACAAGGUUGCAGAUGAUCAGCGACUGUUGUGGAGAGAUUGUCUUCAAUAUCUGAAGACUCUGCGGCAGAAGAGGGCAGUUCCCCCUGGACUUGUGAGCAACCCGCAGAAUUGUUGGGGAUUGGGGAAUUGGGAUUAGCAUAUACUUUAUUAAUUGAGAUAGGUACCCCCUGGAUUGCUGAUGGGAGUUCCCGAGAAGCUUCCCCCUAGAUUAUAGAGAGUGAUUAUCCUUGGAUCGGUUUCAGUGUCAAUCUUCUCUAUAUCUUUAACGUCUGAGUCCGAAGAGACAUUUGAUGGGAGAGUAAUUCUACGAAUAGGAACCGGAGUUGUUUCCUUAGGUACUGGAUCCUUGAUGGUUAUCACUUGAACCGAAGUGGAGUUUUCCCCCUCAACCGGCAAGGUAGAAGUAGUGAGUGACACAUCAUCAGAUAGGGUAGGACCAGAGACUUCCGCAUGCUGUUGCUGAGGUUAUGAAGACACGAGAACUUCAAAUAGUUGUGCAGUCUCUACAGGGUCGAAAAGAUCAUCAUUGUUUAUUUCAAAUAAGUUUAGGGGACCUGAAGAGGCUGGGAAAUCACUUCCAAGGAUGACUUUAGGUUCUUUCGACUGAGCAGUGUUACGGAUGUAAUAGUCAUCGAAUUUGACAUCAAAGCUUUUGACUAUUAGUAUCAUGCAUUUGAUGAGAAUCCUAUAGGCUACUUUGUUAGUCGAAUAGCCGAGAAAAAUGCCUUCAUCUGAAUUUGUUGCAAACUUGUUAAGAUGAUCCUUGUUAUUGAUCACAAAACAUCUACACCCAAAGAUGUGAAAGAAUCGAACAUUUGGUUUGCGGUUGUUGAGACCCUCAUACGUAGCUUUGUUGAGACGCUUAUAGAUAAUGCUUCGAUUUUGGACAAAGCAUGUUGUGGUCAAUGCUUCGGUCCAGAAGUAGAGAGGAAGGUUUGCAAAGUUGAACAUAGAUCUGGCUGCUUCUACCAGAGUUCGGUUUCUUCGCUCGACAACUCCAUUUUGUUGCGGUGUGUAAGGAGCUGAGAAAUUACGACUAAUACCUUUUGAAACCAUGAAACUGUUUAGAAGAUGGUUAGUGACCUUAGUUCCAUUAUCACUUCGGAUGUGACGCACUGGUAAAUUGAUUUGAUGUUCAAUUUCUUUAAUGAAAUGAAUCAAAACCUGCAGUGUUUCAGACAUGAGUCUUAAUAAAAAGAACCAUGUGAAACGAGUGAAAUCAUCAACUACAACCAGUAUGUGUUUCUUGUGCUGGAGACUGGCUAUGGUAGAUGGGCCGCAAAGAUGAAUAUGUAUAAGUUCUAGUGGUUCAGAAAUUAAAGAAUCAAUUGCUAUAUAAUGGCUUGCUUUGGAUUGUUUGCCACACUCACAUGUAGAACAAAGAGUGUUGUUGUUGUACUUCAGAAAGGGAAGACCUCGGACGAGUUCUCCGGUGACAAGGUGGUUGAUAUAUCUGAAGUUCAGAUGAGCUAGUUUGCGAUGCCAUAACCAGCUGACCUCAGAUACUGCUUUGGACGGAAAGCAUAGCUGCGGUUUCCCAAUGAUAAGAGAGACAUCCAAUAGAUACAUACUUCCUUAGGAUAUGGAUUCGAUCGAAUAGGUGCUUCUAUCAAUUGUCAUUAUGUAGCAGUAGUGUUUAUCAAAUUCAACCCGAUGGCCUGCUUUACAUAGUUGGCCUACACUGAUGAGAUUAUGUUUGAGACCUUCUACGUAAGCAACCUUUUGGAUGGAGAAGUUUCCUGUAGUAAGUACACCGUAUCCUCAGAUUAUUCCAUUCGCAUUGUUCUUGAAUGUAACAUUACCACUAUUACAUAUAGGCCUAAAGUCCCGAAGGUAUUCUAACCUUCUGAUCAUGUGCAAGGAGUAGGCACUAUCUAUUAACCACUCCUCUUCUUGAUCCUCCUUGUACAUUACCUAAAAAUUACAUGGUUGGUUUGGGCACCCAAACAAGUUUGGAGCCCGAGGAAACUAGUGGGUUUUUCAAAGAUGCAUGAAUCGAGGCUGUAGGGACAAGUAUUAUGUCAAUCUUGAGAUCUAGACCUUGGAUUUUGAGAAUUUUUGGAGUGUUGUGACAUUUUGAAAAGUUAUGAGAUUUUUUGAAAAUACGAGGUUUUUGAGAAGUACGAGGUUUCUGACAGGUACAAGUUUUUUGAAAAUACGAGGUUUUUUUAGACAAGCCAGGUGGGGCUCGAGAAGAUCCCUUUUGACCAUGAAAUCUAGAUGAUAGACUUUUAUCAUUCAUCCAGACAACAGACUUGAUCAGCUGUCCAAAGGGUGUGGGAUUAGUCUUGUGACUAGUCCCAAAUUGCGACUUGACAUUGAUACCCUUGGGAUUUGAAAAACCAAAGUUCGAAAUGGUGUGAGUACGUGCAAAUCUACCAGAAUGUGUCUUCCUGAAUAGUUGAGGUGACUAAAAAUGUGUUGGAGUGGGCAAAAUCCCUUUCCAUUUUGGGUCGUCUAAGGAAUAGACUUAAAAACCAUUACUUUGAAAACACUUUUCUUCCUUUUGGGUUUUUUCAGAAGAUUUUGAAAAAGUUUUGGGAACUCUACAUUCCUUUUUGCUUGAUUUCUUGACUAUCUUGUUUUUAGAAAAAUAGUUUUAGAAAACAAGUUUUUCUGGACUCUUGGGUUUUGAAAUUUUAACUUGCCUUUUGUUUUUUGAAAAUAUUUCUCAUUUUUUACAUUGAGAUUGAAGUACCUCUUUGAAGGCCAUUUUUUAUUGAGUUUUUGGAGAACCGAAGUCAUUGAGAUUCAACUGCGGUUUUUUAGAAUCCUUUGAGUGCUUUUGAAAACACAAACAUAAUACAUCUGAACUAGAAAGUUCAAGAUUCUGGGAACAUUGACCAUACUCAAAGUUUUCUAUAGGCAACCCAUGAUGGAUUGGUUGAAUGGUCACUAAAUUCUUAAUUUCUGUUUGUUGUAAUGGAGAUUGUACUACCGCAGUGUAAGUCUGAGUUAAUUUCAUUGUGGGACAUUUGAUGAGAGGCAGUUGGUCAUACUGCGGUUCAGAAUUGCAGUGACGGUACUGCAGUCUGAAGGUAACGAUGGGAAGUUCACAUAAACUUCAGAUUCUUUCAUAAGAAUUUUUUCAUCAACGACUGAUGAAGUCUGAGAGUUGGGAUAAAUUGUACGAGAGAUAGGAAUUAGAUCACUUGAGUGACCUAAAAAUUCAGGAAGAAUUUCCUCAAUAACACAAUUAUUACUCAGAUUACUAAGUCGACCAAAAUGAACUUUGAUGUCUUUGGGAAAGGUUUUUUCAUUGACUGGGAAAUGGAAUUCUCGGUCCGGGGUGACAUAGGGAUGGUCUUUAUUAAAUCUGGGUGAUGAAUCCUUUGCGGUGGAGUACCCAUUGGACCAACCCCAAUUAAAUGUGUUAUCUAUGGUUCCAUUAUUCACAAGACUCUCAAUAGCUUUACUUUCAUUGAACAACUUUUCUAUUAAAAGAUUUAAUCAUACGAUUUCAUUUUGAGCUAAAUCUCUUUGAUCUAAUGCUAUGCUUAUUUGGGUUUCGCAUAACAUUCUUGCAUCCUUCUCUAACCCUAAGUCUCUCUCUAGCAUGGUAACCUUGAGUCUUUUGUCUUCUAGAUGUCCUCUAACAUGGAACAUUUCUUAGGAAACAAUGUUCUUCUCAUCUAGGGCUUUGUUAUAGUCUGAAAGGACGACAACGUCAUUAAGGUCGUCUAUGAAUGGUUGACAAUCAUGCAUGCUAUAAUUAAGAGUUUGGAUCAUGAGUUUUACCUGUUCAACGAUGCUUAGAGUUCCAUCCUUUACAAUGUAGCAGUAGUUCUUUUGAUGCAAGUUAGACCCAUCGUCAUCCGCAGUUGCCAUCAUGCAAAAGUUUCCUUUACCCUUGAUGUUGCUGAUGUCUUCAUCGUCGUCUCCGGAUGAACAGUGGUCUCUUUUGACUUGGGCUACGUAUGCCCUUGCUUUUUCUUUUUCCUCCAUCUCAUGAGCCAUUCUUAGGUAGAAUGCUCUAUCUUUCACUAUAUUGGCUUUUCAGUCUUUUGCAAACUGAUUUUCCUUGUUACACUUGUGACAAAUUAUGACAUCCACCUUGUCUUUUGUUGAGGUACCGGAGUCAGUUAGCUUGACAUGCUGUGGUGCCUCUUUUGAUUGAGUGUUUUGAGGUUGCGGUGAUGGGUGAGGAUUUUUGGAAUAUCGAGAGUGAUUAUUCUGAGGAUUGAAGUUGCGGUUGAAGGGAGGUUUAUUAAACUGCUGAUUUUUGCGGAAAGAUGAGGGUGGUAGCCUGUUGAAUUGUUGGCUAACUAGAGCAAUGGGUUUUUGAAAUUCCUCUUCAUCAUCGUAUUCUGAUUCGGCUUCGUAUGAAUGCGGAGGGUUGUCAUACGUGGGAGAGUAAGAUUGAGUGUGAGGUACUUGUGCUACGAGAGUGAGUGGUCCAUCGAAGUCAGCACAAUCUUUGAGUACAAUUGAUUCUUGUGCUUGUAGUUCACCAUAAAGUUUGUAAAGAGAUAAAGAGUGAAUUUUUCUAUCUCCUUGGACUAUCAUCUUAGCAGUAGUCCAAUGUCUACCCAAACCAUUGAGAAACUGAAGAUUUGUCUCAUGGUUGCUUCGGACGGUGCCAACAUUUGAUAACUUUGUGACAAUUAGAUUGAACCUCUUGAAGGAGUCUUCUAGACUUUCACCAGCUUGAGCUUUGAAAUUGUUGAACUCGUUGAGUGCAGUUGUAAGUUUUUUUUAUCUUGAGGUUGUUUUGUACCUUCAUACAGCUUCUUGAGGACAUCCCAGAUUUCUUUGGCUAACUUGCAAUUUAUGAUGAUAUCAAAGUUGUCAGGAGCAACUCCGCAGGAUAUCUCAUAAAAAGCAACAACAUCAUUUUCCAUCUUAUACAUAUCAUCUUUGGUGGGACGAUUCAUGGUUGGUUGACCUCCUCCCAGUCUAGCUUGAGUGUCGUCAUUUUGAACCGGAGUUAGAAUAGAGACAUGAGUUACUUCUUCUACAAAUCUCCAAACAUCUCUUCCAAGUCUUCUUAGAUACCUCUCCAUUCUUUGAGAACAGUGAUGGUAUUUGUUUGCCACCAAUAUUGGAGCUCUAUUCGAACCUCCAACACUGUUUGAAACAUUGAGGGAUAAUGUUUGUGCCAUAUUUCCUUGUUUUAAUGUUGAAAUAAAAUUGUUGUUUUUUUGUUUUUUUUAAGAAAUGAGCUCCAGUGGUAUAGAAGGCCUUUUAAAAUCAGAGUUCUUGUUUAAAAAGCAACCACUUUGGCUCUAAUACUAAUUGUUGAGAGGAAAACUUGAGUAACACACUUGAACAAAUGUUAGAACAACUAAUAAUGCGAAAUUAUGUUUAACUCAGUGGAUCAUAAAGCUCAACAAUAAUAAGUUAACAUUAGAUAGUUAGAUAGUUAGGUGCAGAAAUAUAAGGAAAUGUAAAUGACAACAAGUAUUAUAUCAAGAAGACACUUAAGUUAAUUCUUCACAAGGAUUGCAAUAAAAAUAAGUUAGUAAGUGAGAUUAGGCUUAGUGAUUAAGUCAAGACUGACUUGCUCCAAAGAGAGGCUACAUAGAUACUUAGUAUAAGAAUGAAUAGAGAAAGAUCAAAACGUCUAAUAGGACUAAGACAAAGUACAUACUUAGAUAUGAUCUGGAAGAGGUUCAAGAUGCAAGAUUCCAAGAAAGGGUUUCUAUCCAUGCGACAUAGAAUAAGAUUGAGUAAAGAUCAGUUUCCCAAUACAAGUGAUGAACUGGAAAAAAAAUUAGUUGAUGUCCUUAUGAUUAUGGUAUAGGAUUGAUCAUGUAUGCCAUGAUAUGUCGUCGAACUGAUAUCUCAUAUGCUCUGAGCAUGAUUUUAGUUUAUCAGGAGAACAGUAACUUGGAACAAUAUUCUUGAUUAAUGGUGUAGCAGUAACUUGGAACGGUUCCAAGAAGAAGACAAUUGUAGACUUUGCAUGCGAGUUAGAGUAUACAGCAGCCACUGAUGCUACAGAGGAGGCUAAAAUACCACUACAUAUGGAAGCGCCUUAAGGAUGGAGACAUUAUCAUGAGUAGAGUAUCAUUAGAUGAGAAUCCGGGUGAUCGUUUCAUGAAGCCAUUAUCAAGGACCAAGCAUGAUAUUCGUACCAGGUAUAUAUUUAUUAUACUUUCUAAUGAUAUGCCAUAAUUAUUUAAUUGUUAGUUUGAUAAAUUUUGAGACAUCUAAUAGUAUGAAUUGUAACGGAUUUGUUGUUUAUUUUAUGGUGAAUUAAUAAAGAGUUGGUGACACUACCAUACGUUGUUAAUUUAUUAUUAUGUUUCUCUUUUUUCAUGUUUUAGACCACUUCCUGAGUGUUAACAUACUCAAAGCUCUCUAGUUGGUCAUACUCUAGGAAAUAAGUAGUGAUUUAAGAUUAUAAUGGAGUGUCAGUAGAUUGUCCAUAUUGAUGGGACAUAUCAUGGAGAUUGUGAAGCACACUCAUGUGUUAGAAAUAUAGAUUUAAGUAUUGGACCAACUUGUACUUAGAGAUUACUUCAUGUAUACAUUCAUGAGUAUUUCUAAGAUGAUAAUAUCUUCUAUAUUCAAAUAGAGGUACAUCAGUUUUUUGCGCUACGAUUUUAUUUUGCAUUGGUUUACUCAAAUGUUAUUCAUAACCGGUAGUAAUAAAGUGUAUGUCCAUGUGUGACAUGAUGACUAGACAAAAAUUAUGUAGUCAAAGUUUAUUUGUUCCUUCAGUCUUAAUAGAAGAAUCAAUAACUAUGGGUCCCUAGAUGAUUUGGUGUUGACAUCUUAAGUACCUGGCUAGGUCCAAAAUAAAUUUGAUUGUUCAAUUUAGUAUUUACAUUUAGCCGUCACAAAUCUUUAUAGGGAAACACACAUAAUAUUUAAUAAUGAUAUUUCCCUUAUCCAUGUCUUAGAUUUAUCUAGAUAUCAUGUAGAACAAAGGAAUAGUUGAUCACAUAUCUAAGUGUUGGAUUCUGAUUAGAUCAAAGUUCAAAUGAUGUAGUGGAUGGCACUCUAUAUGUUGAUUAGUGGAGAAGUAUUAAACCUUGUAUAGGUAACAACUUCUUUAAAUGGUAGACUGUUGGAAAGAGUGUCUAGGGUCAUUAAUUAUAUGUAAUAUUUCUAAUAACACCAGAGAUUUUUAUGUUUCACUCAUUACCCAAAUUGAAUAGAAUAAAUGAAGGAUAGAUUUGUGAUGUCCUAAUUUUCAACCCAAAAUUUUGAUUUUUAUUUAUUCAAAUAUAUCAGAGAGUAAUUACAUUUGUGGAGAGCAUGAUACAAAUUCCCAUGUGUACAGUCAGGCCAUGUCGUUCUCACGAAUCAGUGAAGUAUCAGAAAAAUAUUUAUAAUUAACUGGUUAAGCGUGAAGGUUAGUGAGUUCCCCAAAAUACCAUAUAUCACAAUACAUAUACAUGCUUACAAACAAUGGCUCAUAAUAUGCAAUAAUAUGUAUAUCUUAGACCUACGCCCCAACCAUUUCAUCUUCAACAUGGGUCUAUAUGCAGUUACUAGCAAUAUGAUAUUUAGUCACCAUGGGUCUAUGUUUACUUAUGGCCUACCUGAACUUUUGUCAACACAAGUCUAUGUGUAGUUAUGGCUUACUUCCCAUUUUGUUAAUACGAGUCUAUGUGUACCUACGACAUACGUGUCAUCUUGUGAACACACGGUACUAUAAGCUCCUGAACUACUGUCAUUCUACCAUCAUCUGCUAACUAAACCUUAAUAGAUAAUUCAAAUAUCACAACAAUUAUGCACAUAGAGACUUCACUUUCAACUAUAAUAGUACAAAAAUAUAGAGGUAACACUUACUAGUCUACAAGUUUCGAGUACAUUAAUAUUUAAACCCAUAUAUAUAUUAUACUAUCAGCUCUACUCUACUGGCUCUAUAUCCUAACAUACAUGGAAAUAUAUUUUGAUACAUAGUAUAGUGAUAUAACUCACCUGGAAAAUUACUCAGAUGAUUAUCAACUAUCCUUCAAAUGAUCAAACUGGCGGUAACACGUGUAUUAGGUAUUAUCCUAUAAUGUUACAACUUAUUAAUAUCUAUAGAAAUCUGGUAGAAGUUAGAUUCUUCACAAAUUCCACCACUAAUAUCAUGGCUAUCAAAUUAGCCAGGCUGGACAUUUGAGAGGCAGGACCAUUCCGAUAUAUAUCCAUUCUGAAAUCCAACAAUGAGGCCAAUAUACCGAUUCUAAACACAUCUCUCGUAAGUAGACCAAUAAGUGUAUUUAACAGGAAUUAAUGACUAAUUGGUUACAUAUAGGUUCCUAACAAUAUUUAUGAUUAUAAACAUAAGCUAUCCAAAAAACUUAGCAAGAGUAGGUGCACUUAUAGUGUUUUCUAGCGAAGAACCUCAAAAGUUGCGGGCAAGACCUCGGUAUCGAGCACUUCUCAUUGCUCGAUUAUUUGCUACCCUAGAGCCUUGCUAAAAUGAGAUUCUUUAGUGCCUUGAAAACUCUGAAGAGAAUCAGAUCUUAUAUAUAUAUAUAUAUAUAUAUAUAUCGAGAGAGAGAGAGAGAGAGAGAUUUGGUGUGUGAUAGGAUGGGAGGGCUGAGCAUUAACUUAUAGGCUUGGAAAGGAGGGGUGUCACACGCACUAUCUUAGGAGUGUCACACACUAGGUCGGCAUCAUUGGCUGGCCACUCAAGAACUCCGCCACAUGUCUCUACCAUAUUUAUCUACCUCACCCCCUUCUAGAAGGUGCGCGCCGCGUAACCUAAGUGUGGUUGGCGCUUCUCGGGAAACGUUAGAGAAUUGUAUAUUUUGUAAUACAAGCUCCAUUUUUUACGUUCAUUAUAUCAACAUGCAAUUAUCGAUGUGUACCACAACGUUCAUAUAGACAACAUUGACUAAUUCUCACUUUAGUUUUAAAGUUAUAUUUUUAAUGGGCUUAGACUGUUAAAACCUGUAUAAAAAUCAUAAUCUUCUAACAUGAAAUUCAUUCCUGACUGUAUUUAUAUCGGCAUAAUCCUAUUCAUGAGUUUCUUAUCUCUCAUUUAAAUAGUUUUACGUAAUACUCAACCAAUCUUAAUUUUGAAUUCAGUGUUGCACACUAUUGUACCGAAACAUUGAAAAACCAUAACUUCGUCACAGAAAAUCAGAUUUAGGCAUUUUCCAGAUGCACGCUCUUGCUUUUACGACUACUAUGUGCUUUGUUUAGAUUACUAAGGCUAAUAAGAAACCUAUAUCUGAUUCACUUUUUACAAUACGUUUUUUCAUAUAGGGUUGAACGCAAAACUUCAAAUAAUCAUAACUUCUUCAUACGAUGUCAGAUUUGAGCGUUCUAUAUAUCUACAAAAAAUCAUAGUGAUAUUUCCUACAUGUUUAUGAUGAUGACUUUGUCUAGAAAGAAAUACAUUUUUACUUCAGAUUUUAUAAAUAGAUGUUUCUAUUAAAACCCAUUGAUUCGUGAAAACGGGGUGUUAUAACUCUCCCCCUCUUAAGUAGAUUUUUUCCCUGAAAUCCUACUCCUAGUAUACCUAGAUGUCAUCUUAUCGAAGUUAUCGAGAUCAACAUGUGAUCUAUCCAAUGUUGUCACAACGAUGCUCUUUGUAAAACGUCAUUUUCUACCUUAUACACACUCUCGAAUUCCUCAUGAAGUCUUCUGAAACCGGGAACUCAUCGUUCUGAAUUUCUAGAAUUUUAUACUCUCUGAUUGACGAUUUUUGUUAGAUGUGAAAUGUCGAUUUGUUCAUUUGACUAGGAAUAUUAUCGACUCAAUACAAAGUGAUUAACUAGAGAAGUGUACCUAUGUCAUACUAAUGGAAUCCAUUUUUUGAAACAUGCCUCUAAUAAGGCUUAUGGAAUAUCCCAUAAAAUAUAGACAAAUCUAGAUUGCAAAUGGUUUUUCUACCAAGUUCAAGUGGUCUAACAUCCUGAAACUUAUCCAAAACAACUAUAAUGGGUGAAUUGGCUUGAAAACUCUAUAACCAAUACUCUAAUAUUGGCGACGAACUUAUGAUAAAGCUUGCUCAUCUUCCAACCUACUUGAUUAUAAGAGAUGGUAAGUCACAAUUAGCCUUCUCGCAAGGUUCUAACUACGUUACAUAUAUUAAGGUAUAACUAUUCUUUGAACAAAUAAUUAUUAUGCUUAAUCACGAGAAACUAUCCAACUACUGGGAUUAAGAUCCCAAAUCACUCUUGUCAUUACCCCAUCGGGCAUGAAGACUCACGAUCAACCUUUAAACGUUCUUAAAGACUCACAACCAUUAUCCCACUGUCUUGAAGAAACCCAACCAUCCUCCUUCCAAAAUAUCUAUACCACAUACCCCACAACGGGCCCAACUGUAACACUCCAGAUCAGUUAUUACCUUUAAAUCCCUUGAAAUUUUUAAAUGUUGCAUAGUAAGUCCCAUAAGUACGAUGGGUGUACUCAUGGGUACGCUUAGCGUACUUUACAAGAAUGAUCGCGUAGGGAUAGCACGUAUGCUGGGGGUACGUGACGGAUGUCCAAACCCUAAUUUACAGACUUGAGGCCUAUAUAAGCAUCCUUAUCUCAUUUGAGCCUCUCCCUAAUCAUUCUCUUUCACCAUCAAACGUCUCUGAGGACCCUAAUACCAUUAGAGAGUGUGCUUUGAGCUUAAGAAGUGCAUUUGUGGCAAUUUUAGUGUCCAUUCAAGAAGAAGGAGUUGUCAAGCAAGCUUGGAGUGGGAUUAGGCUUCAAGAAUCUGUAUCUAGUUCACCUGGAGGAGCUUCUGCAGGUAUAAAGCUUUGAUCUUUCCUUCUUAUACUUUAGAUACAGUUAGGGUUUUCUUUCUGGUCCCUUUUGUUGGUUUUGGACCUUUUCUUAACAGUUAAGCAACUCCAUAGGUUAAAAUGGUUAGAUAUGAUCCUUGUGAGCAUGCUAGAUGCAUAAAAGUGCUAGCUUGGGGAAUAUCUAGACUCCAAGCAAUAUUUUGGGGCCUUAUAUGAAGUCCUAAUGUGAAGAAUGAAGUUUUUAAGUCCCAUAGAGCAUGAAAGGGCAUAAAGUUGCAAACGUUAUGCCCUAGGACAUCUUAAUGAGCUCAAAUUUGGUUUUGGACGUUAGAACGUGAAGUAUUAAACACUUACUAAAAUGAAUUGCUUAAUCUGUUUGUACGCUGGUUGUAAGUUAGUGUACGCCGCGCGUACUGCUUAAGGACUAAGUACGUUGUGCGUACCAGGGUUGUACACCAGGCAUACACACAACAGUUGGACUUGGAUUUGUUUUGGGCCUUCGAGCUUUUGGGCCUCAAUUAGUCAUUGGGCCUGGUCACGAUUUGGGGUUAGUGGGCCAGUUUAUCUAUUUUGGGCCAUCGAUGUUAUGGUUGGGCUUUAUUAGGCCAUAAGCCCAUUAAUAAUUUUGGAUAUGGAUUUUGGUCCAUUAACUAAGGAAGACUUUUUGGGCUAUUGUGAAAGGAAUUGGGGAUUUGUGUUCUCCACUUAGAUGGUGUUUGAUUCUAACAUGGAGUAAUGUUAUUGUUGUUCAACAUGAGUGUUUACAUACUAUUAGGAGAGCAGCCUUUGGAUUCUUCAAACAGAGGUGAGUCUCCUCACCAUACCAAUGGGUCUAAAGCACCAAGAUCGGCCCAUUAUUUGUUAUUUCAUGUGCUAGUUUGUUAUGGAAUAUGUUAUAUUCUAGAUAUCAGUGAAACUUGAAUGAAAGACCUCGGGGGGUUCCCGGUGCACCUUUGUGUAAGACCUUGGAGGGUUUUCGAGGCAUUCUUAGUAAAUACCUUAGGGGGGGUUCCUGAGACAUUUGGGCUAAGACCUCAAGGGGUUCUCGACACCCGGAGUAAUACCCUGGAGGGUUUCUAGGGCAUCCUUGGGCUAAGACCUCGGGGGGUUCUCGAUGCACACGGAGUAAGACCCCUGAGGGUUUCCCGGGUAUCCAUAUAAGUCGUAUGCAUGGCUUAUGUGAUAUAUGUAGUUUAUGGCUGAUAUGAAACGUGAUAUGAGGAUUGUAUGUGCAGUAUGCUCUGGGGAAGUCACUAAGCAUUAGCUUACAGAUUGUGGAUUUGUUUCACGUUGAGCCCAAAGGCAAGGUCAAGGAAUGAUGGCGCGACAUGCACUCUCUCAGGCAUUUUUUUUUGACACUCUGAUGAAUUGAAAUAAAAUUAUACUUAGUAUGGAUUUUGGAAAUGAGUGUAUUUGAGAAUUUCAACAAUCAUGGAUAGUGUUUUGGUUAAUUAAAAAUGAAAAAAUUCUUUUGAAAAUUAGGUCGUUACAAGUUGGUAUCAGAGCCUUGGUUUGAGGGAUUCGGGCACACCCUCGGGUGUGUCAGGAUUCAAACUAAGGAAAUAGUAAAAUUGUUUUCAAAAAUAAAAUAAAAGUUAAAGCUGUUUACAGAAUGGAAAAGAUGAGAGUGCAACGCGCGUGAUCAGCCGAGCCAAGUAAGUAGUUCCCCAAUGUGUUAGCCAUGUUAUACUGAUAUUUGAGCUUCGAUAACCGUAUGGAACUUGCUAUGUGUAUGGUUUUAAAAUUGUAUACGGUCAGGAGUUUAUAGCCUUAGUAUGAUUAAUUUGGCCUUAUUUCAUGUUCCUUGUUUGGUUGUGGUCUUAGGGUAGAAUCUGUUAUUUGAAUGUCUAUUUGAUCCUUCUUCUGUGUAUAAUUUGCAUGCAUAAAAGCAACCGGAUAAGAUCGGUCUGAUUGAUGUGAGUAGAGCAAAUUUUAGGACAGCCUAGGACUGUCGGAUGUGAUUAAUUUUGGGACGAUUUGGAGUUAUCACCUUGAGCCUUCGGAAAGGUACAGGUAGGUGUAGAAGGUAGUAUUGGGCCCGUACUACUGAAAGCGCAGGACCUGUACCCAAACCAAUGUUAGACUUGGAAGCUCUAUGGAGGACCAGUGUGGGAGAAUCCCCUUUUAUAGACAUACUGAUUAUUAUGGUUUAUGGUAUUGCAGUACAGUAUGGUGGUGACACGACACGGCGAUGGGAAAUCAGGAUCGGGAUCUGGAUCUGUGUUGGGCGAUGGUACCGAGCCCAUUGAUGAGAGGUUGCAUGAGCUCAUCGCAGCCGAGGUUACGAGGGGCAUCCUUGACGCUACCCCGGUUAUAUUUUGGAUGGUCAAGAAGGGUAUGAUUGAGAUUAUGGAGGAGAGGCUCAAGGUAAUCAAAUUCGAGAUUGUUGCGGGUUAGGUUGGGCCCCGAACUCCCUUAUUUCGGGAGUUCAAGGCGUGUGCAGCGCCGAAGUUCUUUACGGCCAAAAACCCCAUUCUAAGAUAACACCGGGUGGCGGAUAUAUAGAACGCCCAACACACGAGUUCUUGUAGGGAUGUGGCAAAGGUGGGUUUUGCUUGAUGUAUGCUGAGAGACAGAGUCCGAAGCUAAUGGGGUGAGGUGACUAGCCAGGUGGGAGCAACCAGGGUGGCUGAGAUGACAUGGGCUGAGUUUAUUAGGCCUUUUGAUUUGGAGUUUGCACCACCGAUUGAGGUGCAACAGCUUGUGAGUGAGUUUCAUGACCUUCAGCAGACCACCGCGACUGUGGCGGAGAUCACCGCGAAGUUUCAGGAAGAAGCAUUGUUGAUUCCAUAGCAUGCUACCGAUGAGGACAUCAGGAGGAUGAGAUAUUGUUCCAUGAUGAGGGUGUUGGAUUAGUGUCUAAGUCCAUAACUAUAUUUGGUAUGUACUUGACCCGACUCGGCAUGGUGCAUUUGGGUUGCAUGGCAUCAUGCAUUUGGAUAGACUAAAAAAAAUGAGAGAAAUAACACUUAAGGUUUGGUAAUAUAUUGUAAGUUCUAAUAUAUUAAUAAUAUUAGUUAAUGAGUAUUGAUCAAUAAUUAACUUGGAAUUAAUUAAGUGAUAAAAAGGAGACUAACUAAAUAUAUGGGUUGAUUGUGUAAAUCAUCCAUACUUGUAUAGUGGGCUAAUUCUCCAUGGAUUAUCAAGUUGGGCUAAAACCCAUAUGAUGCCCCAUAGAUGCCCCAUGGUGUUUUUGUACCCAUGGAUCAUGGAAAUGAAAGGCCAUGAAAAUCAGGGUUUACAUGGUGUAACCCUAAUUGUGACACAUUAUAUAUGCAUCUUAUUCUUGUCAAAAUCGGCCACCAUGAGAGACUAUGAAGGAAUGGUGAGGGCAAGCCGAUUUCAUGAAGUGUAACAUUUCUCUCUAAGUUAUUCCAAGUGUAUUUGAUGUUGUGUGAACCAUUUGAGGUGUCACACUUGGGGCACUGGGCUCUCGAGUUUCAUGGAGUCAAGCUACAUCAACAAGGUAUGUAUUUCUAUCUAUUUUAUUACCCAAGUAUCAAAGAUUGUAUACUAGUUAGGGUAAUACCUUAGAAUAUUCAUAUUUGCAUGUAUAAUAGAGAAAACAUAGAUCCAAGGUAUUUAGGGUUGCAUGUACGCUUAGGAAUGUUAGAAUGCUCAAAACCCAAUAGUGGUAUUAGAGACUAGGCUUGUUUAAUUAUUAUACUUGCAAAAUAUGCUUAAAAAUCAAAGUUUUUUGUUGUCUAGACAACGGACUCGGUGAGUCCAUUAGGUGACUCAACGAAUCCAUGCCUUAAAAGUGUUCAAAACAAUCCAACUCGUCGAGUUGGUUCAUGCACUCGACGAGUUCGACCCCCAGGCUUGUUUUCUUGUGGUAAUGUUCAUUCUAAUCCAAUUUCAAAGAUAAUUGUGAACAAAUUCAUGUUUUGUAUUAGUUUAAGCAUUAGGCUAAUUACAUGAAAAAGUUUGACUUGAAUUAUCUUGUUCUUAUGAGUUGCCUAGAUUAAUAGAAAAGUUAUGUGAAAUUGUUGUUUGCAAUCCAAAUUAAUUUAAGAGUUGAUUCUAAAAUGUGUUUUUGUAACUUGUCCUCAAGUUAUAUGAAAAGUUACAUUUAAGAUUCAUAAAAGUCAAAAAUAUUUCCAUAGGUUAUGAAUAAAGAAAAGUCACAUUCUUUUAAUAGUUUAAAGUGUUCUAUAACUUGUCCUCAGGUUAUGGAACUUGAAGAGUUUUAGAAUUAAAACUAUGUUAAACACAUAAUUUGUGGAAAUUGAAUAGUUUUGAAUAGUUUCAAAACUUUCCCUCAAGUUUAGGAAUUUCAAAAGUUUUCCCUUAUGAAUACUAUAAUUCCAAGUUAAGCCCUUAGAAUUUUAAAAGUUAAAAUUCAACUCUUAUACUUUAUAAUAUUAUAAGUUAAUAAUAUCUAUAUAUAUANGAUAUGUGUGUGUGUGUAUAAGAGCAAGUCGUCUUACCAUUAGUAUGCUCCAUUCAUGAAGUCAGUCUAUAAGGGGGUAUAAGGUUAAUGCCUAUAAAAUGGCAGUUUAAUAGGUGUCCACUCUCACCCACCGCUUCCUUGAUCGGUGGAGGGUCGUUAGAUGAACGGGUAGGACAAGGACUAUAAUUCUACUUUCAUUAAAAGUAUUAAUGAUAAAUAUAAAGUAAUUAAAUAUUUUUAUAAUUCCCAGUCUUAGUUACUUUAGGAAAUUUUGAAUACUAAUUCAUGAAAUUACACUUUGCAGUUUGUUUAACUCGGUUAGUGGAGUGUUUGUGGUUAACUGACAUACUAGCUUGAUUUAACAAGGUUGGAAAAGGGUAACUUAAUGUUUAUCAUAGAUUCGGUGGACCGCGUGUGGUUAACCGACACAUCGAUUAAGAGGUAAAUUUAAGGGUACCAAGUAAUUUGCAUGGUUACUUCACACCUUGUUUUGUGAUCCUCAGCAUCCCAGUCACAAAACCUGAAGGGCACACUCGAGAUUGAAACAUGCCAUUGAACAGUUCAAUGAAUCUCAAAAGAUCUAGGAGUUUCAAAUCCAAUUAAAAAUGUAAUAAUUUAUUUCGUUUUUCAUGGUGGAAAUUGGUGAAUCAUCAUUUACCUACCUUCAAAUAUUAUAUAGCUUGGAUUACGGCAUCCGUCUUCAAGUUAUAAAAUAUUGUGUUGCGUCCUAGCCUUAGUAUUCAUAUUGGUUGUUAUAUUAUGGACUUUAAAUCAACUAUCUUGAGUAUCUCCCAAAAAGAUGUCUGGUUCAGAAAUCUAUGAUCUUCCCAAAUCUCUUGAAACUUCACCUCCUCCACCUCCUCCAACUAUUCUCCCUUACCCACAAGUUCAAGGUCACUUAAGCCCUAAUGGCAAGAAAGGUCUAUGUUUGCUCACAUCUUGGAGAUGAAGUCACAUAUUCACAAGAUGGAAGAGUUGGAUGUCAUAGUCUUAAGAAAUUUGGAUGUUCAAUCACUUUCUCAGUCACAUAGUGAGUUUCUUUGGGACAACUAUGAAAUAGUCUAUGACAUGACCCUUAAUGAUCUUAUAUAUUUGCUUGUUGCUGCUGAAUCAGAAAUGAUUUGAGGACUA